rnacentral:lncRNA from 1 species
GGCUUUGAAGUCCCGAUUCUAAGCCGUUAAAGCAUGGUGCACUAAACUAUCAAGUAGUCAUCAUAUUGAGCUAGCCAAAUGUUCAUAACAUCUGCAUCUGCUCCUGCAAUAGGUUUGUCACCUAGCGGUGCAUCAAAGACAUAAUUCUUCUAUGCAGCAAUGAGGAUAAACCUCAGAUCACGGAUCCAAUCCGCAUCAUUGCUACUAACAUCUUUCAACUUAGUUUUCUCUAGGAACAUAUCAAAAAUAAAACAGGGGAGCUAAACGCGAGCUAUUGAUCUAUAACACAGAUAUGCUAAUACUACCAGGACUAAGUUCAUGAUAAAUUAAAGUUCAAUUAAUGAUAUUAUUUAAUAACUCCCACUUAGAUAGACAUCCCUCUAAUCCUCUAUGUGAUCACGUGAUCCAAAUCAACUAAACCAUGUCCGAUCAUCACGUGAGAUGGAGUAGUUUCAAUGGUGAACAUCACUAUGUUGAUCAUAUCUACUAUAUGAUUCACGCUCGACCUUUUGGUCUCCGUGUUCUGAGGCCAUAUCUGUUAUAUGCUAGGCUCGUAAAGUUUAACCUGAGUAUACCGCGUGUGCAACUGUUUUGCACCCGUUGUAUUUGAACGUAGAGCCUAUCACACCCGAUCAUCACGUGGUGUCUCAGCACGAAGAACUUUCGCAACGGUGCAUACUUAGGGAGAACACUUGUACCUUGAUAAUUAGUGAGAGAUCAUCUUAUAAAGCUACCGUCGAACUAAGCAAAAUAAGAUGUAUAAAACAUAAACAUCACAUGCAAUCAAAAUAUGUGACAUGAUAUGGCCGUCAUCAUCUUGUGCCUUUGAUCUCCAUCUCCAAAGCAUCGUCAUGAUCUCCAUCGUCACCGGCAUGACACCAUGAUCUCCACCAUCUUGAUCUAUAUCAAUGUGUCAUCAAAUGAUUGUCUCGCCAACAAUUGCUCUUGCAACUAUUGCUAUCGCAUAGCGAUAAAGUAAAGCAAUUAUUUGGCGCUUGCAUCUUAUGCAAUAGAGAGAUAACCAUAAGGCUUUUGCCAGUUGCCGAUAACUUCAACAAAACAUGAUCAUCUUAUAUAAAAACUUAUAUCUCAUCACCUCUUGACCAUAUCACAUCACAACAUACCCUGCAAGAACAAGUUAGACGUCGUCUACUUUGUUGUUGCAAGUUUUACAUGGCUACUACGGGCUGAGCAAGAACCGUUCUUACCUACGCAUCAAAACCACAAUGAUAGUUUGUCAAGUUGGUGCUAUUUUAACCUUCGCAAGGACCGGGCGUAGCCACACUUGGUUCAACUAAAGUUGGAGAAACUGACACCCGCCAGCCACCUGUGUGCAAAGCACGUCGGUAGAACCAGUCUCGCGUAAGCGUACGCAUAAUGUCGGUCCGGGCCGCUUCAUCCAACAAUACCGCCGAACCAAAGUAUGACAUGCUGGUAAGAAGUAUGACUUAUAUCGCCCACAACUCACUUGUGUUCUACUCGUGCACAACAUCAACGCAUAAAACCUAGGCUCGGAUGCCACUAUUGGGGAACGUAGUAAUUUCAAAAAUUUCCUACGCACACGCAAGAUCAUGGUGAUGCAUAACAGCAAGAGGGGAGAGUGUUGUCUACGUACCCUCGUAGACCGGAAGCGGAAGCGUUAGCACAACGUGGUUGAUGUAGUCGUACGUCUUCACGGCCCGACCGAUCAAGCAUCGAAACUACGGCACCUCCGAGUUCUAGCACACGUUCAGCUCGAUGACGAUCCCCGGACUCCGAUCCAGCAAAGUGUCGGGAAAGAGUUCCGUUAGCACGACGGCGUGGUGAUGAUCUUGAUGUUCUACCGUCGCAGGGCUUCGCCUAAGCACCGCUACAAUAUUAUCGAGGAUUAUGGUGGAAGGGGCACCGCACACGGCUAAGAGAACGAUCACGAAGAUCAACUUGUGUGUCUAUGGGAUGCCCCCUGGCCACGUAUAUAAAGGAGUAGAGGAGGGGAGGGGCCGGCCCUCUCUAUGGCGCGCCCUAGGGGAGUCCUACCCCCACCGGGAGUAGGAUUCCCCCUUUCCUAGUAGAACUAGGACCCCUUCCGAGUAGUAGGAGUAGGAGGGAAGGAAAGGGAAGGGAAAAGGAGAAGGAAGGAAGGGGGCGCCCCCCUUCCCUAGUCCAAUUGGGACCAGACCAAGGGAAGGGGUGCGGCCACCCUUGAGGCCCUUUUCCUUCUUUCCCGUAUGGCCCAAUAAGGGCCAAUACGUAUUCCCGUAACUCUCCGGUACUCCAAAAAAUACCCGAAUCACUUGGAACCUUUCCGAUGUCCGAAUAUAGUCAUCCAAUAUAUCGAUCUUUACGUCUCGAACAUUUCGAGACUCCUUGUCAUGUCCCCGAUCUCAUCCGGGACUUCGAACUCCUUCGGUACAUCAAAACUCAUAAACUCAUAAUAUAACUGUCAUCGAAACCUUAAGCAUGCGGACCCUACGAGUUCGAGAACAAUGUAGACAUGACCGAGACACAUCUCCGGUCAAUAACCAAUAGCGGAACCUGGAUGCUCAUAUUGGCUCCCACAUAUUCUACGAAGAUCUUUAUCGGUCAUACCGCAUAACAACAUACGUUGUUCCCUUUGUCAUCGGUAUGUUACUUGCCCGAGAUUCGAUCAUCGGUAUCUCAAUACCUAGUUCAAUCUCGUUACCGGCAAGUCUCUUUACUCGUUCCGUAAUACAUCAUCUCGCAACUAACUCAUUAGUUGCAAUGCUUGCAAGGCUUUAGGUGAUGUGCAUUACCGAGAGGGCCCAGAGAUACCUCUCCGACAAUCGGAGUGACAAAUCCUAAUCUCGAAAUACGCCAACCCAACAAGUACCUUCGGAGACACCUAUAGAGCAUCUUUAUAAUCACCCAGUUACGUUGUGACGUUUGGUAGCACACAAAGUGUUCCUCUGGUAAAUGGGAGUUGCAUAAUCUCAUAGUCAUAGGAACAUGUAUAAGUCAUGAAGAAAGCAAUAGUAACAAACUAAACGAUCAAGUGCUAUGCUAACGGAAUGGGUCAAGUCAAUCACAUCAUUCUCCUAAUGAUGUGAUCCCGUUAAUCAAAUGACAACUCAUGUCUAUAGUUAGGAAACAUAACCAUCUUUGAUCAGCGAGCUAGUCGAGUAGAGGCAUACUAGUGACACUUUGUUUGUCUAUGUAUUCACACAUGUAUUAUGUUUCCGGUUAAUACAAUUCUAGCAUGAAUAAUAAACAUUUAUCAUGAUAUAAGGAAAUAAAUAAUAACUUUAUUAUGGCCUCUAGGGCAUAUUUCCUUCAGUUAGGUCGUUGCCGUGCAGCUCAGCUAUGCCGUUGGAGUUGAUGGACUCACUUUAUCUUCCAAGCCUUCUGUUGUUAUCGUAUUAGAUGGCCUUAAGCCAUAUUAUUGUAAUAAGUUCUCUAUUGAGACAUUCGAUGUAAUAAGUGUGUGAUUGCUACUAUGUUAUAAAUCCUUCGAGUACUGUGUGUGUCAGCAUUACUGAUCCAUGGAUGACACUGAAGCAUAGAGACUUGACCAUCUAAGGUCGGGUCGCUACAACGCCGGUACGGGCGCCGUCGCUGCCGCGUCGUACCGCGCCACCAGUGUCUGCGGUGGCCAUGCCUCUCGUGUCUGUGGGCGCGCCUCCCAUGCCUGCGGCAGCGCCAUGCAGGCAGAGACAGAAGCCGGGUGCAUGGAGAGCGACGAGUCGGUGGCCAGCUUCUCCGUGUCUGCUGCCAUCAUCGAGGAGAAGUAGAACACAGGAGGCCGCUGCCACUUGGGACCCAUGAAGGCCACCGCCGAGGCGACAACUGCGAAUUCAGGUGGUUUCUUUGCUGCAUCGUCUCUUCGGAGGACCUUCGUCGACCCCGCAAGUGUCUGACGAACAUGAGGAAGACAAAGGGAUCCGCGGGCGGCCAUUUAGAACUAAAAUAAGUCUAGAUACAUCCAUUUCUAGGACAAGUAUUUCCAAACGGAGGGAGUAUUAAUUAUACAAGAGAGCCGGAUUGGCACCUCUUAGUUCAUGUAAAUGUAAUGAAAUCCGUCAUGUUUAUAUGAAGAUCCGGCUUUUUUAUAUGAAAUCCUUCAUGCUUAUAUGAAAUCAGUUCGUGUUUGCACGAAUUUCAUUUGGUUGGUUAGAGAUGUAAAAAUGUAUGCCGCUGGCAUUUGAUGUUGUCCUCCGCUUAAGGAAGCGGGAGGAAAUUUGCCGGCUGCCGUUGGAGAUGCACUUUAUGGUGGAAAUAAUAGAAUGACAUCCAAUCCAUUUGAGUUAAUUGCAUGUAUGAGUGUCCCUCUAUAAAAAGUUAAUUGCAUGUACAGUGUACACGUGACUUGCAGGGUGGCUACAGCUUCGUAUAGAAAGUUAAAAAGAAACAAGUCCAUCCUUAAUCUUGUAUUCUAAGUACCCUGUGGGUUCCACUGUCACCACAGUAGCGAAAGAAGUAUAUAAUAAAUAAGUAGAGUAAUAUAUAAUAUAAAAAUAUAAAGUUAAAAGACAGAAUUCGAACUCAUGUCAUCGCGUUGCGAGCAUCCGACGCUAACCAGCCUAGCACAUUUUUGUUGUAGACCAUGCUGGAGAUAUAUCUCCAUGUCUACUCUUAUAUAUACUCCAUUCGUUCCUAAAUAUUUGUCUUUGUCAGAUUUCAAAUGGACUACCACAUACGGAUGUGUAUGUAGACAUAUUUUUAGAGUGUAGAUUCACUCAUUUUGCUCCGUAUGUCUUUUCAGGAAGGGGCCAGAUUUGUCCUUGAUUUAUUUAUGAGGUAUCCAGAUGGCACUGCACCGCCAAGAAAAGAGGGUAACAUCAAAAUUAUCGACUACUUUUUUGAGUAUUUUGGUAAGGUCCGGUCAUAGUCACUUGUUGAAAUCUCUAAAAAGACAAAUACUCCCUCCGUCCGGAAAUACUUGUCAUCAAAAUGGAUCAAUGGAAAUGUAUCUAGACGUAUUUUAGUUUUAGAUACAUCUCUUUUUAUCCAUUUUGAUGAUAAGUAUUUUCGAACGGAGGGAGUAGAAAACAGAGUUGGUGAUGAUGGUGUGCGUGCCAUCCUGUAAUAUAGGCCGUCGGAUUUAUAUCUAACGAAUAGGAAAGAAGCUAUGGCAAUUUUGCAAAAAUAUACCCACACGUCUCUCCAUGUUCGCAAAUAAGGCCUUCCCUCGUUCAACCUUUUCUCUCACAAGAUAAACUACUCAUACAAAUGCAUCUUGAUCUUCCGUGCAACACACGGGCAGCUAGCUAAUUUCUUUUAAAAUAGUUGCUGCGAUAAUUGGGUUGAAGUGAUAUAUUUUAUGUCUACCCCGAAUGAUUUCAGAUUCACUAGUAGUAACAAAGAAAAGGUUGCCUUGUUAAUUAACAGAAAACAGGGUGAAAACUAUCACAUGAGGCCAGUAAAAACAAGGCACACUGGGUUCAGCGUCAUCGUCACUACAGCUGUGCGCGUGCGAGAAGUCUACAUAUUGAGGGGGCUACUGAGCGAGGCACCGAGAUAGAAUGUUUGAGAGAGAAACCAAUUGACAGAUUAUGAUCAGAUCGAGUUGUCACCCUUCUGCUGUCAUUGUUGGGGGGAGGGAGAGAAAGACGUAUCGAGAGUGUGCGCGGUAGGAUAGAUUAUUAUCAAGAUCGAUGUGCCACCCUACUCCUUCGGUGCCGGGUAGUGUGUGUCUGUAUGUUUGAGAGAGAAGCCAGUCGAUAGAUUAUUAUCAAUAUCAAGGUGUCACCCUACUCCUUCGGUGUUGGGAAGUGUGGGUGUGUGUGGGAGGGGGGCAGUGACACUCACAUAUCUCUACUCUUAUAAAAAACAGAGUUGGUGAUGAUGGUGUUCCUGCCAUCCUGCAAUAUAGGCCAUCCGAUUUAUAUCCGACGGACAGGAAGGAAACUAUGACAAUUUUGCAAAAAGAUACCCACACCCCUCUCCGCAUUUGCAAAUAAGGCAUUCCCUCGUUCCUCCUUUUCUCCCACAAGAUAAACUUCUCAUACAAAUGCAUCUUGAUGUUCCGUGCAACGCAUGGGCAUCUUACUAGUAGGGAGAAGGAGUUUGUGUGACACAUAUCUAGCUAUAUUAAGGGAUAGGUAGAUAGCAUAUGUGUGAGAGACAUUAUUAUACUUUGAGACAUUAGUGGCUAUGGGUGGGCGGAAUUAAAGGGGUGGGCGUGUUAGACAUAGAGAGCAUGUGUGUUUCUGUGUGAGAGACUUGUAGGACGGGGUAGAAAGACGAAUUUAACCCUGACGGAGGGAGAGAAAUACAUGAAGUGCGCAUGUGUGAUUCCGAUGCCCAUAGGGAAAUGAGAUAUGUAUGCGUGUGAGAGAGAUUGCACAAUUCAUUCACGUAUCACUAUCUAGCGAUCGUGGACGUGCAUCGCUUGAACAUAAGUCAAUAUCUACUUCGUAUCGUGGCCAAAGGUACAAUAUUGAUUCAAUGCUAUAAAGAUUGGACACUCACAUAUCACUUUUUUCUAUUUAAAUAAACCUUUUCAGUUGUGCAUGCCAAAGUUACAGUGAUGUUUCUUCAAACAACCAAUCUAGCUAUCAUGUACAUGCACCAUUGUUACUCUUGCAUUCAAAUUCAUUAGUCUUGGAUGAUUUAAGUUUCUAUUUUGAAGUAAUAUAUGUAAUAUUCAUAUAUGAAUUCAACGAGUAAGCAAUUUAUGAAAUUGAGGCUAUGUAAUCAUAUGAGGUAACACUUUUAAGUACCUAACUACAAUAUCCAUUUCUUUUUGUGCGCCUCUACACUAACACGUCAAUGCAUUAUGUUUAAAGUAAAUAACCAACGGCACUAAAUUGUCUAUUUACAUGAGAAAUACAUAGGCUGAGCGUUUGAUCCCUUUUUUGUGAACGCGCCACUACACCCGUACGAUUGGCCGCGCCCGUGUGAACGUCCAAGUUAUCGGCGCAUCAUCCCGAGUUAUUGUCUUUUUCUGGGGUGGACUUCACAGCAGUUAUUAACUGCUGACGCGUGCCCCGUGUACACAGUCUAGCAUGAACUUCCUGCUAGCACGGUCCAAAAUUAGUUGAAACUGGAUACGAACGAUCCCGCGGGCAGCAAAAUCUCCCGCCCCCUUCUAAAAUUUCCGCCACCUUAGUCUUUAGCAUGCGAAAUCACCAUUUUGUCCUUGGUGCAUGGAGACCAAUAGUUACAAUACCGCCCUCAUCUACAUGAUAGGUCGGGGCUGCUUUGGUAACUUCCGGUUCCCCCACUACAUGGCACCCCCAUUUCCUCUCCCCUCCCGCAAAAACGACUAACUCCACAGCACCAGAGCAUCUUACAUCAUGCCGUAUGUACUUCAUCGCCCUUUCUCCCCUCCCCUCUCGAAACCCUAGACUGCUUAUCCACCAGCGUACCAUAGCCCAUUCACUGCCAGCGGUAUCCACCUCGUCGGAUCUGUUUCUGUGGCCGCAUCUACCCCUACCACCUCCCCUAGAAACAAGUAGACUUCUCAUCCACCACUGUACCAUAGCCCAUUCAGUGCCGGCCUUGUCCACGGUGCCAAAUAUGCUUCGUCGGUACUCUCAUCAACCGUCGCGCAUCUGCAGCGGCUCAUUCGUACUCCCCACCGGAGAUGCUUCAUCCACACCCCCGGAGCCGCCCCACCGACGCCCCCGUCGACGCCUCUGAUCCUCUUCGCCGACACCUUCCUCAACCCUACCGGAGCCGCUUCGCCGACACCUUCCUCAACCCUACCGAAGCCGCUUCGCCGACACCAUCGUCAACCCUACCGGAGUAGCUUCGCCUAUACCAUUCUCAACCCUACCGGGGCCGCUUUGCCAACUCACAAGUCCACGGCCUCAGAUCCGCUUCCUCGCACCCUCAUCCAACCUACCGGAGCAGCUUCUGACGCCCCGUCCACGGUCGCAGAUCCACAUCGUCGACACCACCCUUAACCCAACCACCGGAGCAGCUUCUGACGCCCCGUCCACGACCGCAGAUCCGCAUCAUCGACACCAUCCUUAACCCAACCACCGGAGCAGCUUCUGAUGCCCCGUCCAUGGUCGCAGAUCCGCGUCGUCGACACCAUCCUUAACCCAACCACCGGAGUAGCUUCACCUAUGCCCUCGUCUACGACCACAGAUCCGCUUCGCCCACACCAUUGUCCACCCUACUCGACGAUUCUAGAUCUCCUUACCGGACCCCGACAGCUAGCGCAGCGUCAUCACCCUCGAUGUUUCUAACCUGAUUCCCACCGUCUGGAGAGAUGCCAAGCACCCGCCACGGCCUAGAUACUUGUCACCUUUAAACCCGUCCAGCAUCACCUGCCUGAUGUACUUCAAAUAUACUAACUGGUCGCUGUUACCUAUUAUGCAGCUGGUAAAAACUACAAGGACGAUGUUUCUUCUGGAUCUAACAGCAUGGCCAACCAAGAUCCUGGACUGAGGCAUUGCUAUGAUAUUGUAAGCGUGUCUCUCUCUCCUGUAUUGUUUUGUGCCUGCCAACGUGCUUUGCUAGGAUUUUCGACCAGUAAUCCCUUUGUGCAGACAAUGAUUUCUACUACUGGCUGCUAAAUUAGAUAUGUAGAUGUCAUACAUGACACUACCUCGUACCUCCGUUCCUAAAUAUAAGUCUUUCUAGAGAUUCCACUAUAGGCUACAUACGGAGCAAAAUGAGUGAAUCUACACUCGAAAAUGCAUCUAUAUACAUCUGUAUGUGGUCCAUACUGGAAUCUCUACAAAGAAAUAUAUUUAGGAACAGGGGCAGUACAUUACACAAAAUCGUAGGUGGCAUGUAGGAAAUUCCAGUGCACUACAUUAGGCUCCCUUAGAGUGCCUGCUAGUCCAGCACACAGAGUCAUGGCUAGUUUAUGGUACGCACACAAUCAUUAAUUUGUGGUUUAAAUAUGUGCAAGGGAUAUGCAAUGUAGUAUCAUGUAGAGAUGUUUGAAAUUAGCCGUGUAAACUUGCAGAUAGGGUUACACAAUGAAAAAGUACAAGAUGUAUGUGGCAAUUUCAUGGAACAUUGCAAAAAAGGAGAGGCAGCUGUGAGCCUAUACAGUGUGCUAUGGUACGUCACUCCUACAUUACAAUCAUCGUGACAUGUUAUUUGUAUGCCAGUUCUAUUAGCCAAGUUUCUUAGGGAUAGUUAUUACGAGUUAUCCUAAGAAAAUAAUCACCUAUGAAUAUAAGCUCCAUGUAAUAAGCCAACCAGUUCUUUUCAUUGCGUUUUCAGCUUAUCUUUGGUAUGAUCAGUGGAAAGUCUAGAUUGCAUUAUAUUUUUUUCAUUUUGCUGCCCAUAUGGAAAUUAAUCUGACUUGCAAACAUCACAAAUUGAACCCAGUGCAGUACUUAAUAUGAUAGGAAAACAGACCAUCACUAUUUGCUCAAAAUGCAAAUACAAAGAUACCAUCUACUUGGCACAAUCUACUUUGGUCAAUGUUUUCCAUAGAGAAGCAGCUCAUAGCAAUUCAUCGUAUAGUGGAUCAGAAUGAAAAUUUGGCAAAAAAUCAGAGGAGAUCCUCACCUUGUUGGAUGAGCUCAUCCUUCAACAACACCUCAAGGCCAUGACCUGGGAGGAGGGGAGGGGAAUAAGGUGCCUUCUGCUGCAGUGUGGCAUCAGCCGUAGUUGUGCAGCGCCCGCGGGAGUAGUGCGUUGGACGAACCAAAGUGGAGCAGCUGCUGGAGACCAUGAGAAUGAGGGGCAACGCUAGAGGGAGGAGUAGCCAGGGAGAUUUGCCCCUACCCGCCGACCAUGUAGCCUAGCUGGACAUAGCAUCAUCGAGGACCAGGCCAGAUGCGACCAGUGGCGACGGCUCGCUGGAGGAACCCUAGUGCUGUAGGCAGGGGAUCGAGGUAGAGGGAAAGGGGAGAGGAGAUGCAAGCGGACAGGGAAAUGAAUGCAAGCGGACAGGGCAAUGAAUGCUUGCAUGUUUGUUUUUACUUGAGGGUCAGGUGUGACACGGGCGUCAGCAGUUGCAUUUUGAGUGUAAUAUAGGCAGAUAACAAAGUCAUUUCACUAUUCCCCUUCCCUUCAAUUUUUAGUGAGGUUCUACCCGAAACACCCCCCUCCAAAGCGAAAUUAGUUAAGGCCAAGCCCAUAACUCAAAAAUGACUUCUUUACAUCUUUUAUGGCUUAUUUUGACAAUAUGCCCUGAAAAGGCGGAAUCGAACUGGCCCUUAACCUGUAAUUCAAUUGUGUGUGCAAUGAUGAAUCACUCCUGCCUGCUAUCUGUACAUUUAGGCAUCAUCAUACAUGGCAUAACCUAAUACAUGUGUAUUCCAUUGUAGAAUCUGGAAUAUGCAAUAUUUAUGUUAGUUCAUAUGUUGCACAUGAUGUUUAAAUGCCCUUAAAUCUGGUCAGUCAAGUGAUGGUCUUUAAGCCUCCUUCUUUGCUUCUUUUCUUGAUAUGUAAGAUUUGCUCACACAUCUAUUCAAUUGCUUGUCUGCAUCAGCCAGCCAUACUAGGACUGUUUGCUUUGAUUACUUGCUGUUCUUGACCUAACACUCUAACAGAGCUCGUCAACGAUUUAAACACUAAGGGCUGUUGUAGUGGGGCCUUGUAUAACUCAUAGGUGACAUAAAGGUUUGGUUGUACACUACAGUAGGCUCUCCAAGAGUACCUGGAGAUCUAGUUCGAAGGUAUGCCUAGUUUUUAUAUUGUGCAGACAUAGUAAAUGAUCAUUUCAUUGUGUGCAAGUGCAAGAGAUGCGGCAUGUUUCAUUUUGUGGUGUUGUUUUGUUAUAAUCUCAUCCUUUUGUGUUCACAGACUGGAAAGUAUGCAUAUUUAUCUUCCAAUGAGAGGAGUAACUAGUUUGUGUCACCUUGCAAAGGGGGUGCAAUGAAGAUAAGAUUGAGGAUUUCCAACUACAAGAUGUUAGGAAGGAGCCUUGCAAGAGAAGUAGGAGCUGUGCUGAGCCUCUUCAACCUGCAAAGGUAAGUCACUGUAUGCAACUCAACAGUUCAAUUCCUUGUUUGUUUCAGGCAUAGUUAAUUUUCUCUUUUAAAUUGCUUUAUUUGUCCUUAGUUAAUGAGAUGCCCAAAUAAUCAUGCCUGAUGUUCGGUACUUGUAUCACUAUUAGCUGACAUAAUUAAAGGCCUUACCAUUUAAUUACUCUGCCGAAGUGUGCCUAAAGCUUUGAAGUCUAUUAACCAACUAUUAUUGCAUGAGGCUCACAAUCUAGUUUAUGCUAAGCUAAUGAUUGCACUGUUUUGCCUGCUGUAGUAUGUUUGUAUGAAACCCUCUGCUGUUCAUUAUGCUCCCUAAGACUUUAAUUGAGGCACAGAAUGGCCAACUGCUUGCUUACUUAUACGCAACGUGUUGUCCAAAUUUGUAACUUGUCUGUGUUUUCGAUUGGGCCCCCAACAUCAUGCUCCUCUGGUGAGCUAAGAGGGAUAUCUGUAUGCAGGUUGCACAGACUAUCUUUUUUAUAAUUUUUAAAAUAUCACCUGCUUAUGCUUCAUGACGUGUAACAUUUUUUUUGAAAGUGACGUGUAACAUUAUUGUUAGUCCUGUUUUGCCAUGUAGUACAAAAUAGUGUCUUGUUCGCUUCACCAUUGUAACUAUAUUUUUGCCCUAGUCAUGUGUACUUACAGAAACAUUUCAGGAUGAAGUGACAUCAACAGAAAGAUCUGCGAGCAGUGCGGCAUGGCCGUUACCGAAUGAUUAUGGAUUAGAAUUGGAAUGUGCUGAUGUUCUCGAGCAUCAACUAGAGGUGGCAAGAUAACAUGUACAUGAUUGUCAAUGUAUAAUCAACAAGUUGAGAGUGGACAUGCAGGUAUUAGAUGUAGGAGUCAAAAAAUGAAACAAGACACUAAGGUAACCAUGAAGGAAUUGGAGAUUUUGCAGACUGAAAUUUGUGCUAUCUGAAUCCGGCCAAUCCUAUUUUCUGAAGAGAUUAUAGUUCAAAUGGAGUUAAGUUGAUGCACUUCCAUGAUGUAUGAGCUGUAUUUACCCAAUGUAUGUAUUAUCACCUGUGCCGAACCAUAAUGCCUAGUGGGUAUAAUUGGCUGUAAUUUCUUUAUUGUAUAGUGUAGGAUUAUUCUACCUUUCCAUGCCUUGAUCUCUUUGUUGUAUAGUGUAUGCUUUUUAGAGGUGAUAGUAUUGAGUAGGAUAAUUCUUUGAAUAUGCUAUAUUGUUCAAACGGGGGCCAACUCGCCCGACCAUGGCCCUUCACGGGCCGUCGGAUCCAUGGGCCUUCUACGUCUCGUAGGAUCCAUGGGCCUUCUACGUCUAGUAGGAUCCAUGGGCCUUCUACGUCUCGUAGGAUCCACGGGCCUUCUACGUCUCGUAGGAUCCAUGGGCCACCGACUCAUCUAUGGGUCUUGUACGAGCCUUUAAUGGACCAUAGAUGGGCCUUUAAUGGAAAUCGUACGUUUUAUGGGCUGACCAUAACGGGCCGUUAAUAGGCCGUAUUUGGUGAUGCUAUGAAAAUGGCCCAAUAGACUAACGGUCCACAAACGGGCCGACUGUAACGACAGGCUGAAUUUGACCCACAAGCAGAAGAUGACCGUAACGGGCCGUAAGUAACCGAAUGCUGCUAAUGAGCCCAAGAAUAAAUGGGCCCUCAAAAGGCCGAAAGUUAACUUGGGAUGGAAACGGCCCAACGGAAUAAUGGGCCAUUAAUGGGUAUAAAGUGAUACACUGUUCAUUACAGGGCAGUUUCACCACGGGCCGUUAAUGGGUGUAAAGUAAUACACUGUUCAUUACGGGACAGUUUCAGCACAGGCCGCUAAUGGGCCAAGAGUUACAAAGGGCCUCAUAUGGGCCGAAAGACGUCAUGGGCUAUACAUGGGCCAGAAGUGAAAACGGGCUGGAAUCAUAUUGGAUGGCCCAGAUGACACUACUGGGCCUAAUUCGGAUAGGGCAUAACAGGCCUUGAGUUAGCGGGCUCUAAAUGGGCUAUAUGCAAACAGGCCGUUAACAGGCUUUCCAUGGGCCGGCCCGCCAGCUUUUGACCAAGUCAAACGGGCCGGCCUUUUCACAGGAAUGGGCCACUGUUGGGCCGUGCCACAUGUUGACGUAUCAUAGGCGCCUUCUGUCUAGUGAGUGGAUGACAUAUGUCCCAACGAUGAGCCGACGCAUGUUUCCUCUAGCCAAUGAUGAUUUUACACGUGGAAAAUCCCCAUUGGUCGGGGAUGUUAACGGGUUAUCGGAUCCAAAACCCGACCCGAUAGCUUAACGGCGUUCCGUUACGGUGGAUGCCAUGUGUCGGUCACCCUUGACGAAAGCACUUCUGUGACACGCGAUUUAUCGUCAUGGAAGUGGAGACUUCCGUGAUGAUAAUUUUGGUAAUGUCAUGGAACACUUCUACGACAGCACAGGUAUGGCUAUCUUGAUUCUGUCAUAAAUUUGUCAUGGAUGUACAUGCAUGACAAAAAACGCGACCUACUGUGACAAACACGUAUCAUCACAGAAGUGUAUUUUUUUGUAGUGAUCAUGGCUCACAUCACGAGGACCUCACGAGGUUUGCCUUGCCUUGAUCUCUCCGCCCCUCGUGAGCCUGCCUAGCGAGGCCGCUCCUGAGAAGGUCUUGCAUCGUCCGCCUCGCGAGGCUUGGCCCCUCGCGAGGGUCUUGAAUACCUUGUCGAUGAAGAUGGGUUGUACGGGCCUGCUAGCUUAGCCACGCCAUGGGCCGCAGGCAGGCAAGUCUGGGGACCCCCGUUCCGAGAAUGCCAACAGUAGCCCCCGGGCCCAAGGUGCACUCGGGCUUGGCUUCGAGGCGAAGCCAAAGGUCAAGUGCGGAGCGCCGCAGGCCCCAACAGCCUACGGCCUCGGUUGACGCGUGGCGGUUGAUUGGACGUCGCGUCUCCGCUUCCCCAUGCUGCCUCGGCAACUGCCCGACUCGACAAGUCCCUGCGACAUGCAAGGAAAAUCAUCAUUACUUGUGAUCGUGGGGGGCGCCGGUUGGCCUUCUCCUGCAAUAAAUGAGGAUGGGGGCGGAGCCUCUGUCGCCCAUUCUUUCCCAUUCCGCCUGCUUCUUCCUCCUCUGCUCCACUUCUAGUAGCAACUUCAAUGGCGCCGAUCCAUAGGUUUUCAGCUAAGGAGAAGGGAAAGGUUCCCCUCGACGUGUCGGCGUUGCUCUUGCCGAAGAAGAGGUCGGUCUAGCGCCACGACGUCGCAGAGAUGCAGGUGGUGACGAGGCCUUAGUGCGAGCGGCCUCCUCCUGGGUAUCCACUGCCCUUGUUCGCCCAAGCCGGGGGUUGGGAGGAAGGAGCAACGAGCGUUGGCGUGCGCACCGCGGCCAAGGUUGACGCGCCGCAGCGACGAGUGCCGUCGCUCCUGGAGUCCAUGCCGUGGACUCCUCACGUGAGCUCGUGCUGUGGGGGUGAUGCCCCCAAGCUCCUGGAUCCACUUCCCGCACUUUUUCUCCGAUGUGAUGCCACCGAGGGGGCCUCUCGAGCUCUGGUUGCAGCAUGCCAACUGCGACGCUCCGGCGACCGGAGCUGAGGUUGAAGCAGUCUCCACUAGCAAGAUCUUCAUGACCUGUGGCUAGGGCGAGGUCGUGCGGGUUUGCCGUGCGGAGGGCGCCCUCGCGAUCCACUUCGAGUAUGACAACGCCUCCACGAUGUUAUUCAAAGGUCUUCGAAGCGGAGGGUCACCGCUUGGAGUGUUUCCCCGAAGGGGAGCGCCAGGAGGAGGCGCGCCCCGCUCACGGCUGCUCCAGUAGCAGAGACUCUUGGGAGUCUAGUGGAUCUCCCGAGCUCUAGAGACUCCGGAGAUGAGCAACGACAGUUACGUCCCCUCGAGCUCUCGCCAUGCUCGGAGCAGGGCCGCAACGUCCGGCCGCCGCUGUCGCUGAUCUGGAUGGGGUUGGCACCGGCCUCCCGUGGCCCACUGUUGAUGAUGGUGUCAACCGCGGGGGUGAGUAGAUAGGAUUCUCCCAGGUUCUCGUCUUUCAUUCCCUACGAGGAAUCAAGAAGUACACCGUGGGGGCAUGUAAAGAGUCUGCAAUGUCUUUUGUUGAUAUUAUCCUAAUUAUGGAAGCCUUAUGAGCGCGAGUCCUGUUUAGGCUCGGUCUUCCCUUUCCAAUCUUACGACAGCUUGUUGCUCGACGCUGAAAGGUCCCGGUCCCUAGGCAAGCUUCAGCCAUCGCUGGUAUGCCAGGUCAAGUGCCGUGGUCAAGGCCAGGAGAUGAGCGGCCCGAGCUCCAGUAAGAGCCCCUGAGGCGCGAUGCUCAGGAGGUCCCCUUUAGCGCUCAAGAAGCCGUGGUAAGAUAAGAAAGGGAGGUGACGUUGCCACAACAGGGUUGCGGCGAGUGUGUCCGAUUAGGUUUCAAUGAUUAGUUGAUCUGAGCUCGCGACUUAUCUUGGCGGUCCGGGGUCGAUUCUUUGUGAUGCGCUAGACCCGUGCGCGUACAUCCUCAGCGUAGCUAGGACAUGCCCAUGCGAGUCCUCCCCCUUCCAAUGCUCUCCUUUGUGCUCUACGUCCUCAGGUCCUGGCCUUCGAGCGACCUCAGCCACCGCUGGUAUGCCAGGUCGCGUGCCGUGGUCAAGGCCAGGGGGUGAGGGCUGGAGAGCCAGUAAGAGCUCCUGAGUCGCGAUGCUCAGGAGCCCCCCUUUUAACAUGCAAGCGGAUUACUUGGAAGAGGUGGGAGCUUGCGGUAUCGCCUGCUGUUAUCCUCGUGAGAUUCCUACGAGCCAGCACAAAGAAGAACACGAUCUGCCAUUAUGGUUGCCAGCCUGCCGCUGGUUGCUCCACGAGGGGGUGAAGGCACUGAGGGCUUGGUGAGGUGACAUGCGCGGGGCGUGCCGCAAGCCAGAGCUCGACCGCUCAAGUUUUUCGACGUGGCAGGGACAGACCUGUGCACUAGCAUCGUGCCGGCGUGAGGAAGCCCCGUGGGAGGUGACGACUGAGCAGGUAGUAAUCAUAGGUAGAUUAGACAUGUGAGUAGCAGGCUUAAGUAAGUGCAUGGGAGAUACGUGCCACCCGGUCAGGUCCGAGCGGCUUGGGGAUGAUGCAGCCCGAGGGGCACUCCCAACAAGGUAAGCUAAAGACAUAAAAACGGAUACAUGCCACAGGGACGGACCCACGCGGCCUGGGAAUGAUGCAGCCCGAGGGGUGCUCCCAGCUAAAUGAACUUCGAAAGAUGUCACCUGGUUAUGUUGACGAAGGAGAGUUGGGGCAGCUAAAGGUGCGCGGCGAAAGGGUUGCUCCUCACGAGCCACCGGGGCCCUGAGCCUCAGGAGACUCUGGGGGCUCAGGUGGUUCCUUGAGGACCUUCUCCAUUUCCAUCAGGUUGAUGUGGUGCCUGGCCUCCUGAGCCGCUAGGAUGCGCCGCAAGUUGCGCUAGUAGGCGGACGACACUCUCGGCAGGCCAAAGGGCAUGCGAACGUAGCUGUGCGGUUGGCCCUUGCAGCGUCCCACGCGCGAAGGCCAGAAAAUCUCCUGAGAAGCGACCCUGUUGAGCCCUGGAACAUCGAUGUAGAUGCGCAGCCCGGCAUCCUCGGCUGGAUGGAAAGCUGCGCCUUGUGAGCAACGGUCGCCGCGUAUGGCCCUCGCGUCUACCAAUUCCUGGGUGGUCUUGGUGAUGAACUCCUGAACGGUGGGUGAUCCUUGCCCUGUACCCUCCUAAGGGAAACGUGCCGUGAAGCACGCCUCCAAGUGGUGCCCAAGCACCUCCCUCAUGAUGUGGGCAAGGUCUGAGGCCUUCCAGAAGAAAGCCCCCGAGCCCUGCCCGAGAAGGGCGUCGGGCGCCUUCCUAUGCGAUGGAGGGAGGCGCCCCUGGAGCGGGCGCUGAUCCUGACGAGGCUCCGGCUAUGACGCCACCCUCCUGAGGUCCUGCACGGUGCAGCUUCUUCUUCUUCUUCUUGGGGAUAGCCUCAGGAGGGCCCUCUCCCUUGCCGUCGGGGUCGUCGAUUGCUGCAGCUUGGAAGGCACGCUCAAGGGAGCACACCGCAUCUCUUUCUUCACAUGGGACCGUGAUGAUCCCGCUGCUUCCCGACAUCUUGAGGGCAUUGUAGCUGUGAUGGGUCACCGCCAUGAACUUGGCCAGGGCUGGAUACCCGAAGAUGGCAUUGUAGGGCAGGCGGAUGUGCGCGACGUCGAAGUUGAUGAGCUCGGUGCAGUAGUUCUUGCGUUCUCUGAAGGUGAAAGGGAGGCGGACCUGCCCUAUCGGUGUGGUGGAACCGUCGGUCACUCCUGAGAAAGGCUUGGUAGGCUGAAGCUGGUCAUAUGGCACUUGGAGGCUGUCAAAAGUGUCGACAGAUAGGACGUUGAGCCCUACGCCGCCGUUGAUGAGGGUCUUGGUAACUUGUACGUUGCUGAUGACUGGGAGCAAAGCAUCGGGAGGGCGCGAGUGGAAGCUGCACACUUGAGCUGAUCUGCUGAGUUGAACGUGAUGGGGCACUGGGACCAUCUGAUUGGGCGUGUGGCUUCGAGGUUGGGGAGGACUGCAUUCACUUCAUGAGCAAAGUGCUUGAAGAUACACUGCGAGACCGGGGCCUGGGCUCCUCCCAAGAUGCAGGCGAUAGCACGCGGUUCCUGGAAGCCCCCAUCCCCCUCGUCCUGAUGGUGCUCGUCAUUCCUUCUUGGUGGUGGUGGCAGUGGAGGGAGCCCAGCGUUGCCUUGAGGACGAUCCUCACGAGGCAGAUCCCUCCAGGCGCCCUCGCGAGGCUGAUCCUGCUUGCGGUCCUCACGAGGCUGGUCGCACCACUCUUGGCAUGGGCCACGGUCGUCCCAGCGUCCGCCACCCUGUCCUCCUCCUCGGCCGUAGCCUCGGUCGCCGUGCUCGAGGCGUCGACCGAAGCGUCCUUCGCGAAUGGCUCUGAGCUCUUGACAGUCACGGGUGUUGUGCGUGUUCAGGUUGUGAAAGGCGCAGAACGGGCGGCUGCUCUUGGAUGACUCUGGUUGGUCUCUGCCAUGCUUGGUGUCUGGUUCUGCUGCAAGCAUGGCUGCUCCCUUGCGCUUCACGUCCUUGGCCUUGGCUUUCUUCUCCUCUGGGUCUGCAGCAGGGAGCUCGAGGAGGGAGAGGCGCCCCUCCACAGCUCUAGCACACUUGGUUGCGAUGUUGAACAGCUCCAGGGUCGUGCACAACUCCUCGUGGAUAGCGAGCUCUUCCUUCAUCUUGACGUUGCGGACGCCAUCAGAGAACGCAGAGAUGAUGGCCUCGUCGUCACCUUGGGGAUCUUGAUCCGUGUGCUGUUGAAGCGCUGAAUGUACUUCUGCAGGGUCUCUCUUGGUUGUUGCUUGAUGCGGCGCAGGUCACCAGCGGCCGGGGGUCGGUCGCGAGUGCCCUGGAAGUUGGCGAUGAAGCGGUUGCGCAUCUCGUCCCAGGAGGAGAUCGAGCCCGGUGGCAGGUUCAGGAUCCAGGAGCGGGCGCACUCCUUGAGAGCCAUGGGAAACCAGUUCCCCAUAACUUUCUCGUUGCCGUUGGCCGCUUCAAUGCUCAGCACGUACAGCUGCAAGAACUCCGUGGGGUCGAGGGUGCCGUCGUAGCGAGGAGGCAGAUUCGGCUUGAACUUGCCCGACCAAGCGACGCUACGCAGCUCGAGGGUGAAAGCGUGGCAACCGGCUGUGGUCACCGGGGCCCGCCUUUGGGGUGGAGCUUGGUCUUGAUGGGGUCCAAGCCCUGCCGCUACAGGUGGCGCGUGGUCUUGCCGCAGCAGCCGGUCCCGGCGCGGUGGCGCGAGGAGCGGCGGAGCGUUUUCUUGCGGUCGAGGGACUUCUUGACAGCUUCUUUCUUCACGCGCAGGCGCGGGAUGCGACGGGUCGCAUCGCGGGGCUGCGCGUCUUGGUGCAAGGGCACCAUCUUGGGGAGGAGGUGGUGGAGGCGCUCGGUGAGCUACGUCGCCUGUAGCUGGCGGAGGGCGAGGCGGAGAGAGGGACGGCAUAGGGGAGCCCCCUGCGGCGUGGACAAGCUCGGCGAUGCGGUCGAGCCAGUCCUCGUAGAGGUCAUCAACCGGGCGGUAGCGCAGGAGCUCGUGCGCCACGAGGAGUGCAUCCUAUGCGUCCAUGGGAGGGCGACGUGCAUGGGAAGAAGAACCGGUCGGGGUCAGCGAUGGAGUGGCGGUGUGGCCGUCCCGCCGCACCGAGGGGUGCAGCGAGGAUGCUUGUUGCUCGUUCCGCACUGGGCCGGUGGUGGCGUUGGCGGCAGGUGACGGGGAAUGACGAGGUGGCCCACCGACGGGAGCCGUCUGGGCGACGUGGGCGGCGAGGGCAGCCUGGCGCUCAGCAUGAGCGCGGCGCGUGUCUGCCGUGGAGAUGACGAAGCAACGGAGCGCGGAGCGGCGGAAGGAAGCUUUGGUGCACCCCUACCUGGCGCGCUAAAUGUCGGAUCAUGGGUUCCGACAAACCCUCAAGGUUCGAACACUGGGGUGCGCGUGAAGGUUUUCUCCCUAUCGAUCCACGCCCUAGCUCUCUAAGAUCUCGGGGACGAACUCGAUGAACUUGCAACACAAAGACACAAGAUUUAUGCUGGUUUGGGCCACCGUUGUGGUGUAAUACCCUACUCCAGUGUGGUGGUGGUGGACUGCCUCUUGGGCGGAUGAAGAACAGUACAAGGGGAAGAACAGCCUCCUGUGGUUGAGGUGUUCUUGUGCUUGGCGAACUUGUGUGGGUGAGGAUCAGAAUCAGAUGCCUCCCUAUGGUGGUGGCUAGUCCUAUUUAUAGAUGCCCUGGUCCUCUCCCCAAAUAUUGAGCGGGAAGGGAGCCAACAACGGCCAAUUCGAAAGGGGACAACUAGUAUAGCUUAUCCUGACAAAAGUAGUCUUCGCCAGCCAGAGGCUCUGGUGGUGACACCGUCUUGGGCUCCACGGUGACCUCCUUCUUGCCGUCCUUCUAGUCUUGGUCUCAUUGCACCAAUAUGGAAACCUUUGCUUGAUGCCUCAGUACUCCGCGCCUGCGCUUGCCCCCUUGGCACCAAAGAGGAAGCAAGGACACUGCGCCGCUGGCGCCUGCCUGGCGCCCGCCUGGUCUCGAUCGUCAUGGCUCACGUCACGAGGACCUCGCGAGGUUUGCCUUGCCUUGAUCUCUCCGCCCCUCGUGAGCAUACCUGGUGAGGCCGCUCCUGAGGAGGUCUUGCAUUGUCCGCCUCGCGAGGCUUGGCCCCUCACGAGGGUCUUGAAUGCCCUGUCGAUGAAGAUGGGUCGUACGGGCCUGCUAGGUUAGCCACGCCGUGGGUCGCAGGCAGGCAAGUCUGGGUACCCUUGUUCCCAGAACGCCAACAAGGUGUCCCAUGAGGGUGCAUCCUUUUUUCCCAGUCGGUGGGUGGCUUAAAGGCCAAUGGUUCCCACCGAGCUGUCUGGGAUUUCCAGGUUCUUUCCAUUGCACGGUACUUCUAUACUAUGUGUGCCAAAUCUGCAAAGUGCAGUAUGUGGCGUCGGUUGAGGGCAUUGAGGAUUCCCUCGUCCAUGCAGUUGCGGCAAAAGACCCAUACCGCAUUAUUGUUGCAACAAUAUUUAAUCUUGUUUUUAACAAGCAGGAAUCUAGCCCAAAAGUGAUGAACUGUUUCCCGAGGUUGUUGUCGUAUGUACAUUAAGUCUUAUAUAUCUGGGGGACCGGAAUUGCUGGGAGAGUAUUGAUUGUGGUGGGCGGGUGGGUUUAAAUCCGAACCCUGGCCCACUUGGGAAUCCGGAUUUUGCAAAAUGUCUAAGGUGAUUUGCCCAGGAUCCGGAGUGUCCUGGGGAUUUUUAUAGUUGACGCCUGAUUCUAUGUUCGGAGGACAGAUGGUCUCUUCUAGAAGAUGGGUAUCCGGCUCGCAAGUCUCGGAGAUCCGAACAUAGGUCAUUUCCAGCAUAGGAGGAACGAUAUCCCCUACUUGCUCUUCAACGACGGUCACCAGGUGGGUGACGGGUGGGGACUUGAUUUCCCACUGAUCAGGUUUAAGCCCAAUCAGAUCAUAAUCUGUUGUGACCCCAGGGUGGUGAUGCGAUCCAGUAGUUCGUUUAAAGACGGGAUAUCUGCCGGAUCCAUCUUAUCAACGCCUUCGGGGCUAAUGCAGAGAUGGUUUUUUGGCAAUCUGGGGGCCCGCCUUGGGCUUAAUGGUCGGGCGAGCACCCAUGGUGAAACUUCCGAUCUAGAGGAUCUGCCCAGGAACUAGGGCCCUUCUAGAGGUUAUUUUGUCGUUGAUGACAAGGCGAGCCAUCGAUCCUUCUGUUGAUGACACAGAGGAGCUCUUAAUGAAAGCACCAAUGUCGGUGUCAAAACCGACCGAUCUUGGGUAGGGAGUCCCGAACUGUGCAUCUGAGGAUCAAAGGUAAUAGGGGGCAGGAGACAUGAUGCUUACCCAGGUUCGGGCCCUCUUGAUGGAGGUAAAACCCUAUGUCCUUCUUGAUUGACUUUGAUGAGUAUAGGGGUUACAAGAGUUGAUCUACCUUGAGAUCGUAAUGACUAAACCCUAGAUGUCUAGCCUGUAUGAUUGUGAUUGCCUCUACGGACUAAACCCUCCGGUUAAUAUAGACACUGGAGGGACCUAGGGUUACACAGAGUCAGUUUACAGAGAAAGGAAUCUUCACAUCCGAACGCUAAGCUUGCCAUCCAUGCAAAGGAGAGUCCCAUCCGGACACGAGGGAAGGCCUUCUAUCUUGUAACUUCAUGGCCCAUCAAUUUGGCCCAUGCUGCAUAGCCCGGCCAUCCGAGGACCCCAUAAUCCAGGACUCCCUCAGGGAGGUUGUCGGUUCUAUAUCCGGCGUAUCUCACAGUAGGGGUCCUAAGCUAGGCGUCUUGGAGCGAUGGUAACACGAACAUGGGAUUUUACCCAGGUUCGGGCCCUCUUAAUGGAGGUAAAACCCUACAUCCUGCUUUUGAUUAUAUUGAUAUAGGUAUGGUACAGGGUACAUGUGUGUACCACGAGAUUGAUCUAAUGAAUGUGAUCCCCUAUUGACUAGCCUGGCCUUGGUUUACAUAACACACCGGAGGCCUAGGGUUUAGGAGAGUCCUUGGCUUGGGCGCCAAGUCUUGUAGAAACCUCCUUGUAUGUGGCAUGGGCUGCCCGAAGUGGCCCAUGAGUGAACCGCCAUGGGGGUCCUUAAUACGUCUCCAAUGUAUCUAUAAUUUUUGAUUGCUCCAUGCUAUGUUAUCUACUGUUUUGGGCAAUAUUGGGCUUUAAUAUCCACUUUUAUAUUAUUUUUGGGACUAACCUAUUAACUGGAGGCCCAGCCCAGAUUUGAUGUUUUAUGCCUAUUUCAGUGUUUUGAAGAAAAGGAAUAUCAGACGGUGUCGAAACGGAACGAAAUCAACUGGAGAAGUUAUUUUUGGAAGGAAACACACCUAAUGGACUUGGACCCUAUGUUAGGGGAGACACGAGGUGCUCACGAGGGUGGGCCCCCCCUAGGGCGCGCCCCCUGUCUCGUGGGGCCCCCGUGGCUCCUCCGAUGUCCUCCCUGCACCCAUAUAUAUCCACGUGACCUAAAACUUCCAAAAUGCAACAUAGAUCGGGAGUUCCGCCGCCAGAAGCCUCCGUAGCCACCAAAAACCAAUCUAGACCCGUUCUGGCACCCUGCCGGAGGGGGCAAUCCUUCUCCGGUGGCCAUCUUCAUCAUCCCGGUGCUCUCCAUGACGAGGAGGGAGUAGUUCUCCCUCAGGGCUGAGGGUAUGUACCAGUAGCUAUGUGUUUGAUCUCUCUCUCUCUCUCGUGUUCUUGAGAUGAUACGAUCUUGAUGUAUCGCGAGAUUUGGUAUUAUAUUUGGAUCCUAUGAUGUUUUCUUCCCCCUCUACUCUCUUUUAAUGAAUCGAGUUUCCCCUUUGAAGUAAUCUUAUCGGAUUGAGUCUUUAAAGACUUGAGAACACUUGAUGUAUGUCUUGCCAUGGAUAUCUGUGGUGACAAUGGGAUACCGCGUGCCACUUGAUGUAUGUUAAGGUGACCAACUUGCGGGUUCAUGAACCUAUGCAUAGCGGUUGGCACGCGUUUUCAUCGUGAUUCUCCGGUAGAUCUUUGGGGCACUCUUUGAGGUCCUUUGUGUUGGUUGAAUAGAUGAAUCUGAGAUUGUGUGAUGCAUAUCGUAUAAUCAUGCCCACGCAUACUUGAGGUGACAUUGGAGUAUCUAGGUGACAUUAGGGUUUUGGUUGAUUUGUAUCUUAAGGUGUUAUUCUAGUACGAACUCUAGGGCUGUUUGUGACACUUAUAGGAAUAGCCCAACGGAUUGAUUGGAAAGAAUAACUUUGAGGUGGUUUCGUACCCUACCAUAAUCUCUUCGUUCGUUCUCCGCUAUUAGUGACUUCGGAGUGACUCUUUUUCGCAUGUUGAGAGAUAUUUAUGUGAUCCAAUUAUCUUAGUAUUGUUGAGGGAACUUACACUAGUGAAAGUAUGAACCCUAGGCCUUGUUUCCACAUAUUGAAAUACCGUUUACGCUCACUUUUAUCAUUCGUUACCUUGCUGUUUUUAUUAUUUCAGAUUACAAAAACUAUUAUCUACUAUCCAUAUUGCACUUGUAUCACCAUCUCUUCGCCGAACUAGUGCACCUAUACAAUUUACCAUUGUAUUGGGUGUGUUGGGGACACAAGAGACUCUUUGUUAUUUGGUUGCAGGGUUGCUUGAGAGAGACCAUCUUCAUCCUAUGCCUCCUACGGAUUGAUAAACCUUAGGUCAUCCACUUGAGGGAAAUUUGCUACUGUCCUACAAACCUCUGCACUUGGAGGCCCAACAACGUCUACAAGAAGAAGGUUGUGUAGUAGACAUCAAGCUCUUUUCUAGCGUCGUUGCCGGGGAGGCAAGGAAAGCGGCACUAACACACCCCGUCAACUAAGCUCUUUUCUGGCGCCGUUGCCGGGGAGGUUAGCGCUUGAAGGUAUAUCUUUAGAUCUUGCAAUCUAGUCUUUUAGUUUCUUGUUUUAUCACUAGUUUAGCUUAUAAAAGAAAACUAUAAAAAAUGGAAUUGAGUUUGUCUCAUACGCUUCACCUUUUUAAUAUCUUCCGUGAGUAUGAUGGAAAGGAUAAUUGUGCUCAAGUGCUAGAAGAAGAAAUCUAUAAAAUGUUUGGCACUAAAUCUUUGAAUGAUGAGCAUGAUUGCAAUGUUGUUAGUAUGAAUUCCUUGAAUAUCCAUGAUGCUAAUGAUAUGCAAGUCCACAAGCUUGGGGAAGCUAUGUUUGAUGAGGAUGAUAUUUUUUGUCCCCCAAGCUUUGAUGAGCAAAUUUAUUAUGAUGAAAGCAUGCCUCCUAUCUAUGAUGAUUAUUGUGAUGACAUGUAUGCUUUAAAGAAUAAUUAUAACAAUGAAACUUGUCAUCUUGAUUUCAAAUUUCAAUCCCAUGAUAGUUAUUUCGCUGAGUUUGCUCCCACUAUUAUUCAUGAGAAGAACUUUGCUUAUGUGGAGAGUAGUAAAUUUUGCAUGCUUGUAGAUCAUGAAAAGAAUGCUUUAGGUGCUGGUUAUAUUGUUCAAUACAUUCAUGAUGCUACUGAAAAUUAUUAUGAGGGAGGAAUAUAUGUGCUUAAAGUUUUGAAGUUAUGCUUGUUUUACCUUCCUACGCAAGUUGAUUAUUGUUCCCACAAGUUGUUUGCUCACAAAAUCCAUAUGCAUAGGAAGUAUGUUAGACUUAAAUGUGCUAGUCAUAUUCUUCAUGAUGCUCUCUUUAUGUUACAAUUCUUAUCCCUUAUAUGAGCAUCAUUGAAAUCAUCAUGCCUAGCUAGAGGCGUUAAACGAUAGCGCUUGUUGGGAGGAAACCCAAUUUUAUUUUUGUCCCUUGCUUUUUUCUCCUGUUUAGUAAUAAAUAAUUCAUCUAGCCUCUGUUUAGAUGUGGUUUUAUGCUUUUAAUUAGUGUUUGUGCCAAGUAGAACCUUUGGGAAGACUUGGGGAAAGUCUUGUUGAUCAUGCUGUCAAAAACAGAAACUUUAGCGCUCACGAGAAUUGCUACCAUUUUUAUUUGGAGAGUGCUAUUUAGUUAAUUCUUUUUGAAGAUGAUUAAUAUAUAAAUUCCUCAGGUCCAGAAAUUUAUUUGACAAUUUUAUGAGUUCCAUAAUUAUACGUUUGAUCCAGAUUACUACAGACUGUUCUGUUUUUGACAGAUUCUGUUUUUCGUGUGUUGUUUGCUUAUUUUGAUGAAUCUAUGGCUAGUAAAAUAGUUUAUAAACCAUAGAGAAGUUGGAAUACAGUAGGUUUAACACCAAUAUAAAUAAAGAAUGAGUUCAUUACAGUACCUUGAAGUGGUGAUUUAUUUUCUUAUACUAACGGAGCUUAUGAGUUCUCUGUUAAGUUUUGUGUUGUGAAGUUUUCAAGUUUUGGGUAAGGAUUCAAUGGACUAUGGAAUAAGGAGUGGAAAGAGCCUAAGCUUGGGGAUGCCAAAGGAACCCCAAGGUAAUAUUCAAGGAUAUCCAAGAGCCUAAGCUUGGGGAUGCCCCGGAAGGCAUCCCUUCUUUCGUCUUCGUUCAUCGGUAACUUUACUUGGAGCUAUAUUUUUAUUCGCCACAUGAUAUGUGUUUUGCUUGGAGUGUCAAUUUAUUUUGUUAGGAUUUGCUUUCUGUUAUUUAGAAAAAAAAAUUGCAUCCUUUAUUUCAAUAAAAGUGGCAUUGAUAGCCUUUACUAUGCCUAUGUUACAAGUAUACAUGUUGCUGCUUGAAAACAGAAAGUUUACCGCUGUUGCAAUAAUUCCAUAGAAAAGUCAGAAUGUGAUAAAAUGUUGAAACCUUUUGUAUAUUAAUCUCUGAUAAAUUUACUACAGUGGGAAUUUUCUUUCAUAAUUUUUGGAGAUAGGGAAGUAUGGAUGUUGCAGCAUUCUUUACAGACUAUCCUGUUUAGGCAGAUUGCUGUUAUGUUUGCAUUGUUUGCAUAUGUUUGCUUCUUUAAUGAUUCUAUUUGAGGAUAGGACUAUUAAAUAUGCAGAGGCAUUUAGUAUUCAAUGUUGAAUAAUAAUUUUAGUGAUUUGCUACAGUAGAGUAUGAUAAGGUUUUUGCAAUGGUUUAUACUAACUUAUCUCACGAGUCCUUGUUGAGUCUUGUGUGGAUGAAGCUUUUGAGAUUUAGGGAGACCGUGAUAUCAGAGGAAUUAAGGAGACACAAAAGCUCAAGCUUGGGGAUGCCCAAGGCACCCCAAGAUAAUAUUUCAAGAAGUCUCAAGCGUCUAAGCUUGGGGAUGCCCCGGUUGCCAUCCCACCUUUCUUCUUCAACAACUAUCGGUUAGUAUCGGUUGAUCCUAAGUUUUUGCUUAUUCACGUGAUGUUUGCUAUUCUUAGAUGUCAUUUUAUUUUGCUUUGCUUGCUGUUUGAAUAAAGUACCAAGAUAUGAAAUUAUUAAAUGUUAGAGAGUCUUCACAUAGUUGCAUAAUUAUUCGACUACUCAUUGAUCUUCACUUAUAUCUUUCGGAGUAGUUUGUCAUUUGCUCUAGUGCUUCACUUAUAUCUUUUAGAGCAUGGUGGUAGCUUUGUUUUGAAGAAAUAGAUGAACUCUCAUGCUUCACUUAUAUUAUUUUGAGAGUCUUAAAUAUCAUAGUAAUUUGCUUAAAAUCCUAAUAUGCUAGGUAUUCAAGAAUAAUAAAAUUCUCUUAUGAGUGUGUUGAAUACUAUGAGAAGUUUGAUACUUGAUAAUUGUUUUGAGAUAUGGAGAUGGUGAUAUUAGAGUCAUGCUAGUUGAGUAGUUGUGAAUUUGAGAAAUACUUGUGUUGAAGUUUGUGAUUCCCGUAGCAUGCACGUAUGAUGAACCGUUAUGUGAUGAAGUCGGAGCAUGAUUUAUUUAUUGAUUGCCUUCCUUAUGAGUGGCGGUCGGGGAUGAGCGAUGGUAUUUUCCUACCAAUAUAUCCCCCUAGGAGCAUGCGCGUAGUACUUUGUUCCGUUAACUAAUAGAUUUUUGCAAUAAGUAUGUGAGUUCUUUAUGACUAAUGUUGAGUCCAUGGAUUAUACGCACUCUCACCCUUCCACCUUUGCUAGCCUCUCUAGUACCGCGCAACUUUCGCCGGUACCAUAAACCCACCAUAUACCUUCCUCAAAACAGACACCAUACCUACCUAUUAUGGCAUUUCCAUAGCCAUUCUGAGAUAUAUUGCCAUGCAACUUUCCACUGUUCCGUUUAUUAUGACACGCUCCAUCAUUGUCAUAUUGCUUUGCAUGAUCAUGUAGUCGACAUCGCAUUUGUGGCAAAGCCAGCGUUCAUAAUUCUUCCAUACAUGUCACUCAUGCAUCAUCGCACAUCCUGGUACACCGCCGAAGGCAUUCAUAUAGAGUCAUACUUUGUUCUAGUAUCGAAUUGUAAUCAUUGAGUUGUAAAUAAAUAGAAGUGUGAUGAUCAUCAUUCAAUAGAGCAUUGUCCCAAAAAAAAGAGAAAGGCCAUAAAAAAGAAAGGCCAAACAAAAAAAUAGAAAGGCCAAAGAAAAAAAGAAGGCCCAAAAAAAUAAAAAAAUAAAUAAGGGGCAGUGCUACUAUCCUUUUUCCACACUUGUGCUUUAAAGUAGCACCAUGAUAUAGCAAGUCUCAUAUAUUGUGCUUCAAAGUAGCACUGUGUUUUUCAUAUAGAGUCUCAUAUGUUGUCACUUUCAUAUACUAGUGGGAAUUUUACAUUAUAGAACUUGGCUUGUAUAUUCCAAUGAUGGGCUUCCUCAAAAUUCCCUAGGUCUUCGUGAGCAAGCGAGUUGGAUGCACACCCACUAGUUUCUUUUGUUGAGCUUUCAUACACUUAUAGCUCUAGUGCAUCUGUUGCAUGGCAAUCCCUAAUCACUCACAUUGAUAUCUAUUGAUGGGCAUCUCCAUAGCCCGUUGAUACGCCUAGUCGAUGUGAGACUAUCUUCUCCCUUUUUGUCUUCUCCACAACCACCAUUCUAUUCCACCUAUAGUGCUAUGUCCAUGGCUCACGCUCAUGUAUUGCGUGAAGAUUGAAAAAGUUUGAGAACAUCAAAAGUAUGAAACAAUUGCUUGGCUUGUCAUUGGGGUUGUGCAUGAUUUAAAUUUUUUGUGUGGGGAAGAUGGAGCAUAGCCAGACUAUAUGAUUUUGUAGGGAUAACUUUCCUUGGCCAUGUUAUUUUGAGAAGACAUAAUUGCUUUGUUAGUAUGCUUGAAGUAUUAUUAUUUUCUAUGUCAAUAUGAACUUUUGUCUUGAAUCUUAUGGAUCUGAAUAUUCAUGCCACAAUUAAGAAGAAUUACAUUGAAAUUAUGCCAACUAGCAUUCCACAUCAAAAAUUAUCUUUUUUAUCAUUUACCUACUCGAGGACGAGCAGGAAUUAAGCUUGGGGAUGCUUGAUACGUCUCCAAUGUAUCUAUAAUUUUUGAUUGCUCCAUGCUAUAUUAUCGACUGUUUUGGGCAAUAUUGGGCUUUAAUAUCCACAUCUAUAUUAUUUUUGAGACUAACCUAUUAACCGGAGGCCCAGCCCAGAUUUGAUGUUUUAUGCCUAUUUCAGUGUUUUGAAGAAAAGGAAUAUCAGACGGAGUCGAAACGGCACGAAAUCAACUAGAUAAGUUAUUUUUGGAAGGAAACACACCUGAUGGACUUGGACCCUAUGUUAGGGGAGACACGAGGUGCUCACGAGGGUGGGGGCGCCCCCCUAGGGCGCGCCCCCUGUCUCGUGGGGCCCCCGUGGCUCCUCCGACGUCCUCCCUGCACCCAUAUAUAUCCACGUGACCUAAAACUUCCAAAACGCAACAUAGAUCGGGAGUUCCGCCGCCAGAAGCCUCCGUAGCCACCAAAAACCAAUCUAGACCCGUUCCGGCGCCGUGCCGGAGGGGGCAAUCCUUCUCCGGUGUCCAUCUUCAUCAUCCCGGUGCUCUCCAUGACGAGGAGGGAGUAGUUCUCCCUCGGGGCUGAGGGUAUGUACCAGUAGCUAUGUGUUUGAUCUCUCUCUCUCUCGUGUUCUUGAGAUGAUACGAUCUUGAUGUAUCGCGAGAUUUGCAAUUAUAUUUGGAUCCUAUGACGUUUUCUUCCCCCUCUACUCUCUUGUAAUGAAUCGAGUUUCCCCUUUGAAGUAAUCUUAUCGGAUUGAGUCUUUAAAGACUUGAGAACACUUGAUGUAUGUCUUGCCGUGGAUAUCUGUGGUGACAAUGGGAUACGGCAUGCCACUUGAUGUAUGUUAAGGUGACCAACUUGCCGGUUCAUGAACCUAUGCAUAGGGGUUGGCACGCAUUUUCGUCGUGAUUCUCCGGUAGAUCUUUGGGGCACUCUUUGAGGUCCUUUGUGUUGGUUGAAUAGAUGAAUCUUAGAUUGUGUGAUGCAUAUCAUAUAAUCAUGCCCACGGAUACUUGAGGUGGCAUUGGAGUAUCUAGGUGACAUUAUGGUUUUGGUUGAUUUGUAUCUUAAGGUGUUAUUCUAGUACGAUCUCUAGGGCUGUUUGUGACACUUAUAGGAAUAGCCCAAUGGAUUGAUUGGAAAGAAUAACUUUGAGGUGGUUUCGUACCCUACCAUAAUCUCUUCGUUCGUUCUCCGCUAGUAGUGACUUUCGAGUGACUCUUUGUUGCAUGUUGAGGGAUAGUUAUGUGAUCCAAUUAUGUUAGUAUUGUUGAGGGAACUUACACUAGUGAAAGUAUGAACCCUAGGCCUUGUUUCCUCACAUUGCAAUACCGUUUACGCUCACUUUUACCAUUCGUUACCUUGCUGUUUUUAUUAUUUCAGAUUACAAAAACUAUUGUCUACUAUCCAUAUUGCACUUGUAUCACCAUCUCUUCGCCGAACUAGUGCACCUAUACAAUUUACCAUUGUAUUGGGUGUGUUGGGGACACAAGAGACUCUUUGUUAUUUGGUUGUAGGGUUGCUUGAGAGAGACCAUCUUCAUCCUACGCCUCCUACGGAUUGAUAAACCUUAGGUCAUCCACUUGAGGGAAAUUUGCUACUGUCCUACAAACCUCUACACUUGGAGGCCCAACAACGUCUACAAGAAGAAGGUUGUGUAGUAGACAUCAGUCCUCGGCCCGAUCCAUCUGGUUGGGAGACGACGUGGUCAGUACCCCCUAGUCCAGGACACCCUCAGUAGCCCCCUGAACCGGUCUUCAAGUUGGGGACGCUCCUCGAUUCUUCCGAACUGUUCUUCAUCUUCGGUCAUCGGUCUUGAAAACUGGUUCAACAAAUCUGCUCAUCUUUAAUCUUGAGGAUCACCGAAGUGAAUCCGAAGAGUUUACACGUCAGGUAUCCGAGGAGCCCCUUUAAGUCUUCGGCCUUUAUCAAUGCCUUAUUAUUUUUACACCACACCUCGGGUUCGAAGUUGUUCCCAUGCAGCAGUGUCGUCUAGCAUCCGAGCCCCAACGCUGGAAUGCAUUCAAGGUAUCCUUUGUAGCGGAGCACCAACGCUAGACUAUAUCCGAGCUCCAACGCCGGAGAGUAUCCGAGCUCCAACACCGAGCUAUGUCCAAGCUCCAAUGCCAGAGAGUAUCUGAGCUCCAACGUCGUGCUAUAUCCGAUCCCCAACGCCGGGCUAUAUCUGAGGUGCCAUAGAUGACCUUGGCUCAAAACAGUCGAAGGAGUUUAGCCGAGCUUAAUGCCAAGAAUGCCCUCUAUGGAGCCAGCCACUGGCGCCUGAGCUUUAUGCCAGACUGCUUCCGAGGUGGUGCACCACCCUGACUGCGGGCUUAGUUUUUGUCAAUAUUUUUGAUUGGUGCAAUUUAUUCUCUGUCAAGAUAUAUAGCCAGUAGCCCUCAAGGUGUGUAUCGAUCUAAAACCCGAGAUGCACCUGAAGGAUGACAUAAGACCACUGAUCCCAGUAGCCCCUGAGACUCAGGUUGAUUCACAAAAUUGGCCUGACGAUCAACUCCUAGCUCGGCAGAAUACUUCGGGACACAAAAAGCGGUGCGCAAAGUCCUCGAGACUCAGGUUGGGUGCGGCCGACCAACCCGAGGAUCAUAAUCUCCUCGAAAACUAUAUUGCACUUUAAAUUUUCUGCAUUGGAUUUUCGAUGUAGUAGCCCCUGAGAAUUGGGUUGGGCAAAAUGGCCGACCCUUGGAUCGGACCUCCUCGGGAACAAGUUCAACUGUCAUGUAUGUUUUGACAAUACCGAGGUGGAGUUCAGCAGGAAAGAUGCCAAACUAUAGUUUAGAAAAGAGUUUCAUGCCGAACAUGUCAAUCAAGAGAAUGUUCCGCUUCCUGAAACAUAAAAUAGGUGAAAGAUGUUAUAAGCUUAAAAAAGGUCAAGAAACAUGCGUAAGAAACUUUACGUCUAGAUUGAAUCAAGUUGUUUUGGUGCCAAUAUGAAAUUGGUCUUAAAAUUGUACUUCCAUUGUGCUUUGACAUGACACAUCUGAUCUCCAGACUUCAAGUGGGUCAGCCUUCGGCUUCAACCUCCCUAUCCCGAAGUCGGAGUGUUUCUCAGGCCAGUUUAGCAAACUAAACGCGAGCGGCUUUAGAGAGAAACUAGGCUACCCGGCUCCUGAUCAUACACCCGGGUCGAGAAAGGAGUGGUAGAAAAAGAUUGUGCAGCGACUAAGAAGAAAACAUCUAUUAUAAAACGGCUCAUACUAAUUUAAGAGCCCCCAAGUGACUUGGGUAAAAGAAUUUUAUGUAUAAUGAUUGCAUGUACCGAAGUACUUAUAUAAUAUCACCAUUCGCCUGAACAUUGAACGCGUCUUAACCGACUGUCAGCUUCUCCCUCUUCGACCAAGGGCCGAAAAGUGUUAUCUACUCGGCCUACCGAGAAUAUCGGUGGUGUUUUGGAUAACCAGGCCAUCAGGCCAUGAGGCUUUAACAGACAAAGAGUGCCCAGGGAACCUAUGCUACAUUACUUAUCUAGCAUAAGAAGCAUCUUCAAAGAAAAUAGUGCCCCAACGGUACCUUUCUUUGGUCGCUCAUGAUUACUAUGAGACAUGUGCAAUAGAUUUUUGUACGUGUGAGUUCCGUCGUGUGUCGACCAUAGUUGAAAACAAUAAGAGCGCUAGCUUUUGGCUUCACCCGUCUGAGGUACGAGUUCGGAUGACCCGGUCGUAGCAAUCACAGAGGUGCUCCCUUUACUCCCUAGCCGAACAAUCGGGAACAUAGGGGUAAGCACAGGAGCCAGGCAACCCAGUGUUAUGGAACACUUAAGUCAACAUGAUGCAUAUUUUGGCAUAAUACACGAACAAGGAAUUGUGCGAUACAUUAAUAAUCAUAUGCAAGAAGAAUGGCUUCAUAAAGGAAGCCCCCAAGUAAACAGAGUAUUUGAAUUUGUUUGUAACAAACAAGGUUUUGACAAAGAAAGUUUUUCGAAAAUGACUUCUUUUCAAAAAAAGUAUAAUGCUUGGUCGAACCGAACAAAAUUUAAAACUGAAAUUCUUUGAGCAUGAAAGCGACUGAGCUGGUUAAUGUGCUCGGUGUGACGUGGGCCGAGCUUGUAGCGGCUCAAGGUCCCAACCCCCAAGCCGGUCUUGACGUACCCGAGCGAAGAGCUCGGCUUGAUGAAGUGAUAGCACGACAGUGCCGAAGUGCCGAGGCGAAGCUCCCGGUCCAGUCGAGGAGACAGAGUAGUUCGGCAGCGUGACAAUGAAGCCCCCACGUGAGUCGACGUGUCGAAAUAGGUUGGCAUGGUGGGCGUCAGUUUGAUGAAGCGAUGACGCGAUAAUGGCGACAUAGGGUAUCACACCACGGUGACGGUGGAAUUUGGUUGAUGGAGGCGAGAGGACGAUUCUAUACGCCGAGGUGAGGCAUGUGUGCCGAACACCCGAUGAGGUAGAGCUCUUUCAGCGAUGUCGGAGUCCCCAAGGUAACCGAACAUGUUGGUAUGGAAAUUUGUCCCACAAGGUGAUCACGCGAGCCGAUUUAUGCCGAUUGGGACGACCACGUUGGCUUGCCGAAGUGACUGUCUGACGUAGCCGAAGUCGAUUACCUACACAUGUAAAAUAGUGUAGUCCAAAAAAUAAUAAUAUAAAUAUAUAAAAAAUCUUCGCAUAAUUAAUUUACGCAAAAUAAAAAAAUUAAAGAGAUGUGGCCUGGCGCCGAAGUCAAUGUCGAUGCAGGGCGUCGGCGUGAUGUGGUAAAGGCGUGACAAAGCCUGAAUUUCACAGGUCGGUCCGAGUUCCGGAUGCGGCAUUCGCCGAACUGUGUAUGGAAACUGACCGAACCACCAUGUGACUGUCGUUAAUGCGGCCACCAUUUGACAGACCUGUGUGUAGAGAAUGGAAGACCAGGGUAAUAAUUCCUCGGGAAAAAUAAACCCAAGCAAGCAAAAAUUACUAGGAUUAAUGGCACCUCGUUAUUUGUUGUAGCAAUACGAAGAGACACAUGUGGGCGCUCAUAGAUUUGCACCUGGUAAUAGUACUAGUACCAACACUAGCACGUGAGAAGUGCAAGAAAGACUAUGAUUAGCAAAAGGCAAAGACCGCCUUAAUUGAAUAAAAAGAAAAGAAAGAAGGACUGGGUCUUCCUGUAUGCUGCCAAGUGAUCCAAAUUCAGUUCAUGCCUACUGCUCCAGCUUGAUGCUACAUGCGCGUGCUCGGCUAGAACACAGCCGCUCAGGAUCUCCGACGAUGUGUAGCACGUUCUCACAAGUUGGGUAUGCGGAGCAAGAAAAGGAAGCAAUCUGUACAGAACAAAUACCAACCAGCACCAAGACUAGAUUGGUUUUGAUCUUUUAGGUGGAGUAGUAGUGUUUGGACUACUAUUAAAAUCCAAUGACUAAAUCUAGGAAAAGAUGCAUAAUUAAAAAAGAUGCAUAAUUAAUCAAUGUGAAGUGAAUAAUCUGGUAAAUAUGGCAUGAGCGCCGAGGUCGGCUCGACGGCGUGACGAUGUUCACAUGGAUCAGUCGGCCUAGGUGACGACGGCGAGGCCGGACAGACCAAUGUUGCACACAUGUGUCGACAAAAUACCUCUGCAAAAGUAAUGCAGUGCAAAACAACAGAAAAUAUUCUGCGUGCAAUAAUUUUUUAGGAGAUAAUCGAAUAGUUAGGAAAAAUAAAAACCUGUUUGACGGCCACGACUGCAGCAGAUGGUUGGGAAUAGCCGAAGUGAUCCGUAUCGUGCUACACAUAGUACUCAAUCAGGUUAGUACUAGUAACACUUUUGGUCUGAUGUGUGCCGCCACCGAGCUGAGUCUGGAGGCCGGACAUAUGUACCUUGGAAUUUAUCGCGAAAGCGUCUUCCAAGUCUUCCUAGCUGCCAAUGGAAUUCUCGGGCAGACUGUUCAGCCAGUGUCGAGCUGGCCCCUUGAGUUUUAGCAGGAGGUAUUUGAUGGCAUGAAGAUCGUCGCCGCGGGCCGUAUGAAUAUGGAGAAUAAAGCCUUCAAUCCAUAUCGCAGGAUCCGUGGUUCCAUCAUAUGAUUGUGAAGCAAAGGGGGUGUGCGGCGCCUCUAUAUCGGGCCAGGUCAUGAUGUAGUUCAGAUGGAGUCCGUCUGCGUCUUUUGGCUCAGACAUGAUUGUGCUUGCCAUGUUCGGCUUGAUAGCUGUCGUCGUGUGUCAAGGCACGCCCCUGCGAUCCGUAGAUCGGUCUGGUCUUACCCGCCCUACUUUCCAGGUCCUGCCGUAGGUCGUAUGUAUGUCCCCGAGCUGUUUUGUUUCUGCCUUUAUGGUGAGGUAGUGCUAGUUGGUGUUCGGCUUGAGUUGCUGCUUUGUCUCGGCCAUGUGGUGGUCGAUAAGCCGCAUUACGUGCUGACGGUACAGGCUCCGGCGCCUCGUCGUCCAAUUGAGGUAGCAAUUUGCGCUUCGGAUAACUUUUGGAUGGGUGCUCAAGGCCGUAUUCCUUGGCUGCCAGGACAUGGGUCCAUCUAUCGUUGAGUAGAGCGUUGUCAGCUUUAAGCUGCUGCUGUUGCUUCUUUAUCAGGCUCCUUGCAGUGGCUAUUAGCCGGCGCUUGAAGCGCUCCUGCUCGAGAGGUUCCUCAGGCACGAUAAAAUCCUCGUUGCCGAGGCUCUCCUCAUCCCCGGAGAGUGAAAGAUAAUUAUUGUCCUCCGAGUCUUCGUUUAUGGCCUGUUCAUCAGGGCUAACUUGCCCGUCUUCCCGUUCGUCCUGUUUUGAACUUGGCUUAAUGGGGUCUUCAUUGUCUUCGGCAUCGUUCGAAGUAUUGUUUUCUCCUGUGCCGGUAUUGCUGUCUUUUCCAUGGCGUGACUUGGAGGGACGCCGCUGACGUCGGCGCUUUGAUUGUAUCUCAGGAGGUUUAUCCUCGACUUGGUCUUCCUUGUCGUCGUUGCCAUUUUCUUUGGGUGUAUCCACCAUGUAAACAUCAUAUGAGGGGGUGGUGGUCCAGCGCCCGGUAAAUGGCGGGUUUUGGGCCUGCUCCUCUUCGGCAUCGUCGUCCAUACCGUCGAUGUCUUCGGAGCCGUAAUCAGGCAUGUCGGUUAGGUCUUCGAUAGUGGCUAUUAAGUGGGAGGUGGGUGGGAAGCGAAAUUCCCCGGCAUCAACCCCUAGUUAAAACCGGAUAUAAUUCGGCUGUGAGUCCCCUGCUAAGGAGAGGGGUUUUAAUGGGUUUAGCACAUCGCCUAAAGGUGAGUGCCGAAAGAUGUCCGCGGCGCUGAAUUCGACGAUCGGCGCCUGAUCAGGCUCAGCGGACACGGGUGCACGUAGUUCGGUGCCAGUGGCCGCAGAUGAGUCCGGGGUUCCGGUGACGCGGAUCCCGCAUGAAAUUGGGUCUGUGUGCGGCUCCAACGCUGCUGAUUCUGCGGCUUCCGUAGCGGGGUUGAGCUUCCCGUCUUUGCAUGGCGCAGUCCACUCCGGAUCUCGGGUAGGGGGUCCCGAACUGUGCGUCUAGGAUCGAUGGUAACAGGAGACGGGGGACACAAUGUUUACCGAGGUUCGGGCCCUCUCUAUGGAGGUAAUACCCUACGUCCUGCUUGAUUGAUAUUGAUGAAUAUGAGUGUUACAAGAGUUGAUCUACCACAAUAUCGUAAUGGCUAAACCCUAGAAGCCUAGCCUGUAUGACUAUGGUAAUGAAUGUAUAUCAUUUCCGGACUAACCCGUUCGGUUUAUAUAGAUACCGAGGGGAUCUAGGGUUUACAUAGAGUCGGUUACAUAAUAAGGAAUCUUCAUAGUCAGUCGCCAAGAUUGCCUUCCAUGCCAAGGAGAGUCCAAUCUGGACACAGGUACAGUCUUUGGCCUUCAUGUCUUCACAGCCCAGCAGUCCGGCCCAUGGAUAACAGGCCGGACGCCCAAGGACACAUUAGUCCAGGACUCCCCCAGUAGCCCUUGAACCUGGCUUCAAUGACGAGGAGUCCGGCGCGCAGAUUGUCUUCGGCAUUGCAAGGCGGGUUCCUUUCUAUCCUUUCUAUCGCCACUUCACACAAUUACUUGAAUAAAGCAUUACAUCAACCAGUUACAAUCAAGGCCCGACUACGGAGCCAAAAUAAAAGAAGACUACCCCAAAAGCUACACAGAUCCCCGAUCGACCCCAACUGGGCUCCACUACUGAUCAACUAGAACGAAACAACACAAAGGACAAGAUCUUCAUCGAUAUCCUCCUUGAGCUUGGUCGCGUCAUCCGCAUGGUUCAACGGCACCUGAAAGCUGGUUUGGAAGUAUCUGUGAGUCAUGGGGACUCAGCAAUCUCACACCCUCACGGUCAAGACUAUUUAAGCUUAUGGGUAAGGUAAAAGGUAUGAGGUGGAGCUGCAACAAGCGACUAGCAUAUAUGGUGGCUAAACAUACGCAAAUGAGAGCGAGAAGAGAAGGCAAAGCACGAUCGAGAAACUAUGAUCAAGAAGUGAUCUUAGAACAACCUACAUCAAGCAUAACUCCAACACCAUGUUCACUUCCCGGACUCCGCCGGAAAGAGACCAUCAUGGUUACUCACGCGGUUGAUGUAUUUUAAUUAGGAUCAACUUCAGGUUUUCUACAACCAGACAUUAACAAAUUCCCAUCUGCCCAUAACCGCGGGCUCGGCUUUCGAAAGUUCAAAUCCCUGCAGGGGUGUCCCAACUUAGCCCAUCACAAGCUCUCACGGUCAACGAAGGAUAUUCCUUCUAGCGGGAAGACCCGAUCAGGCUCGGAAUCCCAGUUACAAGACAUCCUCGACAAUGGUAAAACAAGUCCAGCAAAGCCGCCCGAUGCACCGACAUCCUGAUGGGAGCUGCACAUAUCUCGUUCUCAGGGCAACACCGGAUAGGUCAAGCUACGAGUAAAACCAGCCCUCAAGUUUCCCCGAGGUGGCCCCGUAGGCUGCCCAUUUCGGACCAACACUUAGACAAGCACUGGCCCGGGGGGUUAAAAAUAAAGAUGACCGUUGGGCUUGCCUAACCCAAGGGAAAAAAAGGCUAGGUGGCAAAUGGUAAAACCAAGGUUGGGCCUUGCUGGAGGAGUUUUAUUCAAAGCGAACUGUCAAGGGGUUCCCAUUAUAACCCAACCGCGUAAGGAACGCAAAAUCCGGGAACAUAACACCGAUAUGACGGAAACUAGGGCGGCAAGAGUGGAACAAAACACCAGGCAUAAGGCCGAGCCUUCCACCCUUUACCAAGUAUAUAGAUGCAUUAAUUAAAUAAGAGAUAUAGUGAUAUCCCAACAAAAUGUCCAUGUUCCAAACAUGGAACAAGCUCCAAUCUUCACCUGCAACUAACAACGCUAUAAGAGGGGCUGAGCAAAGCGGUAACAUAGUCAAACAAUGGUUUGCUAGGACAAGGUCGGUUAGAGGCUUGGGUUAAGAAUAUGUGAGGCAUGAUAAGCAAGUGGUAGGUAUCGCAGCAUAGGCAUAGCAAAAGAGCGAGCAACUAGCAAGAAAAGAUAGAAGUGAUUUCGAGGGUAUGGUCAUCUUGCCUGAAAUCCCGCAAGGAAGAAGAACGAGUCCAUGAACAAGACAAACGGACGAAGACGAAUGGGUCCUCACAAACGCGACAUUAACAGAACCAACCCGAAAAAGCAACACCGGAAAGAAGCACACAACAUAGUAAACAAACCACACAUGAACAAGGUAUGAUAUGCGAGAUGCGGUAUGCAAUGCAUAUGCAUGAUUUGCAAAGGAAUGAUUGGACCUGGCCUCAACUUGGAAACCCAAGAGUGCCACCGGAAAGGUGAGAUGAUUUCGGUAGAAAUCGAUAUAAAGAUCACCGGAAUCGGAUGCAUGGUUUGGAAAUGGCAAGCAAAACAAAUAUGGCACCGGUCUGCGAUAAUCAGCAAGUAGUCAUCUAAAUGCAUCAAGAUAAAUAUGCUACAGAACUCAAACAUGACAACAAAAUACAUGGCAGGGAUCCACUCAUGAUGCUUGACAAAAUAUGAACACUGAGCUACGGCUAAUUCAUCCAUUAACAGGCUCAAAAAAGCAUGGCAAAAGUGCAAAUGAUAACAGGUUUCAGACUUGGUGAAAAACUGGAGCAUGCAAAACAGUUAACGAGUAGGCAUGUUUACGAGCUCGAUGCACUCACUACAGAGCAUGGCAUGACAAACUAAGCAUACACCCAUCAAGAAGACAUGGCAUAGGAGCUAGAAAUGGCAAGAGCAACAAUAUAGCAUGCACGGAUCAAUAGCAACAUGUGUAGAGCUCAACAUCAUAGCAUGCACACCCCUAUAAAGGUGGCAUGGCAUAUAACAAAACACAUGUAGAGCUCAACAUCAUAGCAUGCACACAUUAAUCAUGGCAAAAAUGACAAAAUGCCAUUUGCUGAAACAGAUUUGCCAAAUUACUCACAUAGCGCUCUUCCAACAGCAUUUUGAGCAUCAAGAUGAGCUCAAAUGAAAAUAAUGCAAUGAGAUGAAAUGAUGUACUCGUCGAGACGAACAUUUUGAUAUGCUACACGCAUGAAUCGGAGCUACGGAUACAGAGUUACGAUGUGAUGAAAUAUGCAAAAGAUUAGGGUUCAGAGGGAAAAAGUCAACCCGAGGAAAACUCCAGACCCAGAUCCGGUUUGCACACGGAUCGAGGCACCGCCGGAGUUCCUUGCCGGAAUAGAGGAAGAAGACGGUUGGCGCGGCCGGGGCUCGCCGGAGUAGAGGUCGCCGGGGCCGGAGGAGGUGCGACAGAGGGCGGCGCGGCGAGACGCGGUGGUCGCCGGCGAGGUGGUGGCCGCCGAUGAGGGAGGCGGCGUGGGGCGGCGCNNNNNNNNNNNNNNNNNNNNNNNNNNNNNNNNNNNNNNNNNNNNNNNNNNNNNNNNNNNNNNNNNNNNNNNNNNNNNNNNNNNNNNNNNNNNNNNNNNNNNNNNNNNNNNNNNNNNNNNNNNNNNNNNNNNNNNNNNNNNNNNNNNNNNNNNNNNNNNNNNNNNNNNNNNNNNNNNNNNNNNNNNNNNNNNNNNNNNNNNNNNNNNNNNNNNNNNNNNNNNNNNNNNNNNNNNNNNNNNNNNNNNNNNNNNNNNNNNNNNNNNNNNNNNNNNNNNNNNNNNNNNNNNNNNNNNNNNNNNNNNNNNNNNNNNNNNNNNNNNNNNNNNNNNNNNNNNNNNNNNNNNNNNNNNNNNNNNNNNNNNNNNNNNNNNNNNNNNNNNNNNNNNNNNNNNNNNNNNNNNNNNNNNNNNNNNNNNNNNNNNNNNNNNNNNNNNNNNNNNNNNNNNNNNNNNNNNNNNUCUGAUUGGCUGGAGGGAGGUGGCUGCGGGGCGGCGGACAUGUCCGGCGCGGUGGGAGUUUUGUCCGGUGGCGCGAGGUAGAGGAAGGCUAGGGUUAGACUACGCGGAAUUUCGGGGAAGGCCACAUAUUUAUAGGUAGAGGGAGCUAGGAGAGUCCAAAUGAGGUGCGGUUUUCGGCUACGCGAUCGUGAUCGAACGACCGAGAUGAUGGAGGAGGUUUAGGUGGGUUUUGAGCCACUUUGGAGGGGUGUUGGGCUGCAACACACACAAGGCCUUUUCGGUCCCUCGGUUAACCCUUGCAGUAUCAAACGAAGUCCAAAUGGCACGAACCUUGAUAGGCGGUCUACCGGUAGUAAACCAAGGGCGCAUGACAAAUCUCGGUCCAAUCUGAAAACGUUUAACACCCGCACAUGAAAAGAGGUAAAAGGGAACACCGGGUGACAUAGGAGCGCCGGAUUGCAAAAUGGACAAUGGGGAAAAUGCUCGGAUGCAUGAGACGAACAUGUAUGCAAAUGAAAUGCACAUGAUGACAUGAUAUGCAAUGCAUGACACGCAAGCAAUGACAAGGCAACAACAGCGAAUAACUGCAGGACACCUGGCACAUCGGUCUCGGGGCGUCACAACACUCCACCACUACAAGAGGAUCUCGUCCCGAGAUCUAGAAUGGCACCGGAGGGACAAUGGAAGAGAAAGAGGAGAGGUAAAACUAAGUUGCUUCCUUGAAAAACGAAUGAAACCAAAGAACCUUGAAGAGGUUAAGCCAUUACGCGAAAAGAAUACAACGGAGAUGAACGAAGUAAAAAACACUCCGUUAGGAAAAGGAAACAAGGAAGAACAAAUUCGAACAGCACUCCGGUUGUAAAGAUAUGCAAGGCUUGAUAAAAUGAAGAACUUGAGCAAAAUGGCACAACACUCCGGUUAAAAGGAUAGGCACGAAAAGAACACGGUACUCACCAUCUCGAGAUGAUGAUCGAAAAAGCAACAUCAGAAAGCCUCCGGGAGAAAGAAUAGAAGAUAGAUAAUUGAAAUGAAAGAAUGGAGCAGAAAAUGCCAACUUCUGCUAGAAAAGAGCUUGGAAAGACAUCUUUAGGAGAAGGGUCGAAUGGAGUUGUUGGAAGCCCAACAACGAAAAGAUAGGCUUGAAGUGGACUUAUGGAAAACAUCUCGAAAACUUGAGGUGAAAUUCUACCACUCACGGAAAAACAAUAGAUUGGCUUGAUAUCAAGAAGGAGACGAGAAACUUAUUCACCGGGAGUAUAAAAGACGAACUUGGGUCCUUUCAGCGCACCAUAAAUAGCAAUAACCCUUAGGGAAGGCUUUAGAUGAAAAUUUGAACCCAAGAUAACUCCAAUGACGAGAUAGAUGGAUUUAAUAUAUCUCAUUCUUAACAACAUGUGAACCAUGAAACAUGAACUCAAAUUAUCAAGAAUGACAUAAUACCACCUCCAAUGAUACGGUAGAAAGACUUGCACUCCGGGUUGCAAGAUGAAGAAUUCUUGAGCUCCUCUGAAAAGAAUCUCAAUGAACACUUCGAAAAGGAAUUGAAUCCUUGAUGAACCAUCACGUAGAAACUUCAUGAGAACUCUGGUAAUAAAAGGAUAACGAUAAGAAAGAGAAGUUGAAAACACAAGGUGAAUCAUUGCAAUGAUUAGAUAGAUCUUUGGAAUGAUAUAAUUGAAAUAACUUUGAGCUCCGGAAAGAAACAUUAAACAAGUGAAACCGAGAGUUUUGAUGAGGCUCCGUAAUAAGGAAUUGAAUUUACUCGAUGAAACAAGAAUAAGAAUUACAUUAUGCUUAUCCUUCAUCAAUUAAAUUGAUGACAAUCAACAGAUUUGACAUAUUACUUAUUCUCAUGGAAAAGAUUAAUAGAGAUACAACAUAAACUUGAGAACAUCUUCAACAAGUUACCGGUAGGAUUGAGAAGAACGAAUGAAUAUAUACGAUAAGGAAUGACGAGAACUCUUGCACGAACCACCAUUAGAAUUAAAAUAAACGAAGUAAGGGAUGAAUCACCAGGUAAGAAUUGAAAAUGAAGGAAGAAAAGAUAAAGAAACACCGGGAAGAAUUAGCAAGUGAACGAAAAUGUUUGCUAGGAUUUAGAUACAUAAGAACGAAGAGGUUACGAGCUGACAAGAGAAUACUUGAAUGAUGCAUCGGUAAGAUUUUGAGAACAAUAGCUGAAAACUGAGAAGACUCUUGAAUUGCUCCGGAUAGGUGAAAAGAAUUCUCACAAUCAAACAAUUAUGAGAGGAUGGCCUCGAACUAGAACCACGAAUCUCUGAGAGAACGGAUAAGAUAUGGAGGUAGAACUCUUCUUCAGUCUUCAAAUGAUGAGAAUGCCAACGAGAAACACCACCAAGAAUUAUUGAGGCACACCGGAAUGAAGAAUAGAAAGGUUGAGCCAACGAUGAAAAGAAUUUUGAAAGAUCUUGGAGAAAGACAUAAGACUUAUGAUAAUUCAUUCUUAUGUCAAACUUCGAAAAGAAUUUUAUGGAUAUCUCCGGGAGAAUUAGAAAAGUCAGGUAAGAUCCUGGAAAAAGACUUGUGGGUUAGGGCCCACUCAAAAGAAACACCGUUGAAACGAUUACUUGAAAGAUAUUUCACCGGUUCAUUUAAAUGGCUUGACUGAGAUAACAACCCCGAAAUAGCUUGAAUGGAUCUUGAAUGACAAGACGAGCCUUCUGAGAUAUCUUCAGCACUCCGGAACAAAUGAAUGGCGAGAAGUGGAUGAUUAAGAGGUGCACCGGCACGAGAAAAACAUUUGAAACAAGGAAAAGAAUAUGAUGAACAAAGUUUGACUUGAAACCACCGAAGAAGAAGAAAAAGAACGCAUAAUGAUGAACUUGAGGCUCCAUUAGGAUCUUCAUGAGAAUCACUGGAUAAGAACAUUGACGGAAAAGGAAUGAAGAGGCCUCACAUCAAUAAGAUGGAUACUUGAUUAAGAUAUUUGAGUCCUUGAAGAAAAAGGGUGGGUGGGUGGGAAAACAAAGGCAACUUGGGACGAAUGAAACAAACACCGUUGAGAAGAACUAAUAAUUGAUCUUGCGGAUGUUGAAAUGAUCGGAUCCACUUGAAGAGAAGCACGCUGGUUAAAAAGGGUUGACAAAACAAUCUUGAUGAUCAAGAAGGAUUGGUAUUCACAUCGGAGUAUGAGAACACCAUUUGGGGAAGGUAUGGAAUCAGCAUUUGACUUCGAAGCAACUCGAAUAUCACCACUCAAAACAAAACAAAGGAUUGGCUUGCAAAAUAAGCCGGAACAAACAUAUGAUAGAGAUUUCGUCCGAAGUUUUCGUGGUGGGGCCUACAAGGGCUCGAUUGUACAGCACCAUCAUGUACAAGGCAGUGCACAUGACAUACGAAGCGUCCCCGAGUCGGCAUAGCCAAGGACUCUUUAAGACACAACGAGACCACUAUAAAACCAACCGUGAAUAGGCAGACCACUAGACGUCGAACCCCAAUUUCAUAUCAUACAUCCGUCGGAAAGAUAUCCUAAGAGCUACUUGAAUUCCCACUUAUAAACUCCCGAAAUUUUCCAGUUAUGCAAUCAGGUGUUGGGGAUACAGGGGAAGCAUAAUAUCUCACCCAAAACUAGCAAAUCCUACAACCAGUUGUAUCCAUCCUUCAACACAUAACCAACAAACCUUCGGAAAUCGUUUACCUCAACCUUCGAAAAGCAUCCGUUAUACGAGUUAUGGCAAUACUACCAAACUCCCGCCCUAGUACUGGGUGGCGUCGAGGUUAUCUCACCAACAACUACAUAAAAGAGAUUUUCGAUGUCGGCGAAACUAAUCUCAGGUAUUCCAGAACUGCAACGAUAAAAUUGUGACGACAACACCUCGGAGCUCAACUCCUCGGGACACUGCCACAACCCCUAAAUGACAGGAGGCACCAAGAACAAUGUUCUCGUCACAAAACCAUCGGAACGAUUCCAAGAUACCCACGUGAUCCUAAAUUUUUUUUAGUGAAAUUUGAGAAGAGAAGAGUCAAAACUCUACGUUAGGAUGCCUCACCAGAACGACGAAGGGACUGAAGAGUAAAAAGAAUUCCUAACUCUCCGAUAUAUAUAAUCCUAAAUGACUCAAAACAUUUCUAGUCUCAAUAACGCCAGCUAUUCAAUCAAGCAGGGGGCUCCUAAGGUCGGGGAAGGCUCUGAUUACCAACUUGUAACGCCCUCGAUGCGGCUAUAUCUCCCACGUGUCGAAGCACGACUUAGAGGCAUAACCGCAUUGAAAGCAAUGUCGCAAGUGAGGUAAUCUUCACACAACCCAUGUAAUACAUAAGGGAAAGAGAUACAUAGUUGGCUUACAAUAGCCACUUCACACAAUUACUUGAAUAAAGCAUUACAUCAACCAGUUACAAUCAAGGCCCGACUACGGAGCCAAAAUAAAAGAAGACUACCCCAAAAGCUACACAAAUCCCCGAUCGACCCGAACUGGGCUCCACUACUGAUUAACUAGAACGAAACAACACAAAGGACAAGAUCUUCAUCGAGCUCCUCCUUGAGCUUGGUCGCGUCAUCCGCACGGUUCAACGGCACCUGCAAGCUAGUUUGGAAGUAUCUGUGAGUCACGGGGACUCAGCAAUCUCACACCCUCGCGAUCAAGACUAUUUAAGCUUAUGGGCAAGGUAAAAGGUAUGAGGUGGAGCUGCAGCAAGCGACUAGCAUAUAUGGUGGCUAAGCAUACACAAAUGAGAGCGAGAAGAGAAGGCAAAGCACGAUCGAGAAACUAUGAUCAAGAAGUGAUCUUAGAACAACCUACGUCAAGCAUAACUCCAACAUCGUGUUCACUUCCCGGACUCCGCCGGAAAGAGACCAUCACGGUUACUCACGCGGUUGAUGUAUUUUAAUUAGGAUCAACUUCAGGUUUUCUACAACCGAACAUUAACAAAUUCCCAUCUGCCCAUCACCGCGGGCACGACUUUCCAAAGUUCAAAUCCCUGCAGGGGUUUCCCAACUUAGCCCAUCACAAGCUCUAGCGGUCAAUGAAGGAUAUUCCUUCUAGCGGGAAGACCCGAUCAGGCUCAGAAUCCUGGUUACAAGACAUCCUCGACAAUGGUAAAACAAGUCCAGCAAAGCCGCCCGAUGCGCCAACAUCCUGAUGGGAGCUGCACAUAUCUCGUUCUCAGGGCAACACCAGAUAGGUCAAGCUACGAGUAAAACCAGCCCUCAAGUUUCCCCGAGGUGGCCCCGCAGGCUGCCCAUUUCGGACCAACACUUAGACAAGCACUCGCGCAGGGGGGUUAAAAAUAAAGAUGACCCUUGGGCUGGCCUAACCCAAGGGAAAAAAGGCUAGGUGGCAAAUGGUAAAACCAAGGUUGGGCCUUGCUGGAGGAGUUUUAUUCAAAGCAAACUGUCAAGGGGUUCCCAUUAUAACCCAACCGCGUAAGCAACGCAAAAUCCGGGAACAUAACACCGAUAUGACGGAAACUAGGGCGGCAAGAGUGGAACAAAACACCAGGCAUAAGGCCAAGCCUUCCACCCUUUACCAAGUAUAUAGAUGCAUUAAUUAAAUAAGAGAUAUAGUGAUAUCCCAACAAAAUAUCCAUGUUCCAAACAUGGAACAAGCUCCAAUCUUCACCUGCAACUAACAACGCUAUAAGAGGGGCUGAGCAAAGCGGUAACAUAGCCAAACAACAGUUUGCUAGGACAAGGUGGGUUAGAGGCUUGGGUUAAGAAUAUGGGAGGCAAGAUAAGCAAGUGGUAGCUAUCACAGCAUAGGCAUAGCAAAAGAGCGAGCAACUAGCAAGCAAAGAUAGAAGUGAUUUCGAGGGUAUGGUCAUCUUGCCUGAAAUCCCGUAAGGAAGAAGAACGAGUCCAUGAAGAAGACAAACGAAUGAAGACGAAUGGGUCCUCACAAACGCGAUGUUAACGGAUCCAACCCGAAGAAGCAACACCGGAAAGAAGCACACAACAUAGUAAACAAACCACACAUGAACAUGAUAUGAUAUGCGGGAUGCGGUAUGCAAUGCAUAUGCAUGAUUUGCAAAGGAAUGAUUGGACCUGGCCUCAACUUGGAAACCCAAGAGUGCCACUGGAAAGGUGAGAUGAUUUGGUAGAAAUCGAUAUAAAGGUCACCGGAAUCGGAUGCACGGUUUGGAAAUGGCAAGCAAAACAAAUAUGGCACCGGUCUGCGAUAAUCAGCAAGUAGUCAUCUAAAUGUAUCAAGAUAAAUAUGCUACAACACUCAAACAUGACAACAAAAUACAUGGCAGGGAUCCACUCAUGAUGCUUGACAAAAGAUGAACACUGAGCUACGGCUAAUUCAUCCAUUAACAGGCUCAAAACAAGCAUGGCAAAAGUGCAAAUGAUAACAGGUUUCAGACUUAGUGAAAAACUGGAGCAUGCAAAACAGUUAACGAGUAGGCAUGUUUACGAGCUCGAUGCACUCACUAAAGAGCAUGGCAUGACAAACUAAGCAUACACCCAUCAAGAAGACAUGGCAUAGGAGCUAGAAAUGGCAAGAACAACAACAUAGAAUGCACGGAUCAAUAGCAACAUCCUCGGCAAAAUCGCUAACAAGUCAACAAUCUGCCAGGAUUCACGAAAUAGCAAAAGUAGAGCUCGAUUGACCCAAUAUAGGGUGCUCCAUAAAUGCAAAAAAGACAUGGAUGGAUAGAGCACCACAAUGUUAACAAAACUUCCUUACUGAUCAUCCUCAAAAGAGGCACGGAUUACUAGGAAACAACAUGAACAUAUGGCAUAACGACAAAAUCAGGACAAGGACUUAGUGAAAUUCAAAGUCCCUGAAAUCAGCGUUAACGAUUACGCUACUUUGCAAGCUUGUGCUAGUCACCACAAAUAUCACAAAAAUACAUGGCAUACACCCCUGUAAAGGUGGCAUGGCAUAUAACAAAACACAUGUAGAGCUCAACAUCAUAGCAUGCACACAUUAAUCAUGGCAAAAAUGACAAAAUGUCAUUUGCUGAAACAGAUGUGCCAAAUUACUCACAUAGCCCUCUUCCAACAGUAUUUUCAGCAUCAAAAUGAGCUCAAAUGAAAAUGAUGCAAUGAGAUGAAAUGAUGUACUUGUCGAGGCAAACAUUUUGAUAUGCUACACGCAUGAAUCGGAUCUACAGAUACAGAGUUACGAUGCGAUGAAAUAUGCAAAAGAUUAGGGUUCGGAGGGAAAAAGUCAACCCGAGGAAAACUCCAGAUCCAGAUCCGGUUUGCACACGGAUCAAGGCACCGCCGGAGUUCCUCGCCGGAACGGAGGAAGAAGACGGUUGGCGCGGCUAGGGCUCAUCGGAGUAGAGGUCGUCGGGGCCGGAGGAGGUGCGGCGGAGGGCGGCGCGGCGAGACGCGGUGGUCGCUGGCGAGGUGGUGGCCGCCGGCGAGGGAGGCGGCGCGGGGCGGCGCUGGCGAGAGGCUNNNNNNNNNNNNNNNNNNNNNNNNNNNNNNNNNNNNNNNNNNNNNNNNNNNNNNNNNNNNNNNNNNNNNNNNNNNNNNNNNNNNNNNNNNNNNNNNNNNNNNNNNNNNNNNNNNNNNNNNNNNNNNNNNNNNNNNNNNNNNNNNNNNNNNNNNNNNNNNNNNNNNNNNNNNNNNNNNNNNNNNNNNNNNNNNNNNNNNNNNNNNNNNNNNNNNNNNNNGCGCGGAGUGGCGGGGAGCGGCGGCGGGGCGACGUGACAUGAUCUGAUUGGCUGGAGGGAGGUGGCUGCGGGGCGGCGGACAUGUCCGGCGCGGUGGGAGUUUUGUCCGGUGGCGCAAGGUAGAGGAAGGCUAGGGUUAGACUGCGCGGAAUUUCGGGGAAGGCCACAUAUUUAUAGGUAGAGGGAGCUAGGAGAGUCCAAAUGAGUUGCGGUUUUCGGCCACGCGAUCGUGAUCGAACGACCGAGAUGAUGGAGGAGGUUUAGGUGGGUUUUGCGCCACUUUGGAGGGGUGUUGGGCUGCAACACACACGAGGCCUUUUCGGACCCUCGGUUAACCAUUGGAGUAUCAAACGAAGUCCAAAUGGCACAAAACUUGACAGGCGGUCUACCGGUAGUAAACCAAGGACGCAUGACAAAUCUCAGUCCAAUCCGAAAACGUUUAACACCCGCACAUGAAAAGAGGUAAAAGGGAACACCAGGUGACAUAGGAGCGCCGGAUUGCAAAAUGGACAACGGGGAAAAUGCUCAGAUGCAUGAGACGAACAUGUAUGCAAAUGAAAUGCACAUGAUGACAUUAUAUGCAAUGCAUGACACGCAAGCAAUGACAAGGAAAGAACAGCGAAUAACUGGAGGACACCUGGCACAUCGGUCUCGGGGCGUCACACUCACUCGUCCGGGAAAGCACUCCAAAGAUGUCCGGAUUCGGAGCUGGGGGUAAGUGUAUGGCCUCCUCCGUCAAGAAGAAGGAUAUCAAGGUGCUCCGGGAGGCCGGAUAUCUGGCCAAGGGGAUCGCUCACCAACUCUCGGGCAAGGGACAUAUCGUCCCUACUCGAGAGCCCCACGAGAGGGUUGUGUUUCUCACACAUUUUGUCGGCGGGCUGGGCUUCCCUCUUCACCCCUUCGUCUGUGGACAGAUGUUUUACUACGGGCUAGACUUCCAUGACCUAGAUCCCAACUUCAUCCUCAACAUCAUGGCAUUCAUUGUCAUGUGUGAGGCCUUUCUCCGCAUCCCGCCUCACAUUGGCCUAUGGCUGAAGACCUUUAAUGUGAAGCCGAAGGUGGUGAGCGGACAACAAGCAGAGUGCGGAGGCGCCAUGGUGGGCAAGAUGCCCAACGUUACCUGGACCGAAGGCUCGUUAGUGGAGAUGGUGAAAGGGUGGUAAUUGGGGUGGUUCUAUAUCACCAAGCCGCGCGACGCCAACUGGGUGGCAGCCCUCGAAUUCAGAUCUGGAAUCCUGAUGCGGCUCACCUCCUGGCAAGAGAGGGGCCUAACCUGGGGUCCCUCGGACGAGCUGACUAGGCUCCAGACAUGCGUCUAGAACAUGAUAGACAGGAAGAUCAAGCUCGUCAACGUGGUCCGGGUCAUGCUCAUUUGUCGGGUCCUUCCGUGCCAACGUUGGGCUUGCUAUCUAUGGGAGUACGAUCCGGCCAAGCACCAGACGCUACUAGAGCUCUUCGGCACGACGCACGAACAAAUCUGGAAAGUGCUCUUCAAGGCCGGCGAGAUGCCACCGCCCACGACCGAAGAUCGCGGGCUUAGCUUAAAACGCCAGGCUAACCCGGUAAGUUCUUUUAAUGUUUUUAAGGUGUACCCUUUAAUAGCAUAUUUUGAGAAAAAGCCUAAGCUUUCCUACCCGUGUUUUUAGGCCUGGAUCAAGAUAGAGGAGGGGAUUAACUGUCCGGCUCCGCUGCCCGAAGACCAAGAAUUCGCAAUAGAAAUAACUAAGUAUUGGAAGAUUAAUAUGAUAGAAGAUAAACCCGGGGGCCACAGGUUUCACUAGUGGCUUCUCUCAAGAGCAUAAGUAUUGUGGUGGGUAAACGAAUUACUGUAGAGCAAUUGAUAGAAUUGAGCAUAGUUAUGAGAAUAUCUAGGUAUGAUCAUGUAUAUAGGCAUCACGUCCGAGACAAGUAGACCAAAAUGAUUCUACAUCUAAUACUAUUACUCCACACAUCGACUGCUAUCCAGCAUGCAUAUAGAGUAUUAAGUUCAAGAGAACAGAGUAAUGCUUUAAGUAAGAUGACAUGAUGUAGAGGGAUAAACUCAUGCAAUAUGAUAUAAACCCCGUCUUUUUAUCCUCGAUGGCAACAAUAGAAUACGUAUCGGUUCCCUUUCUGACACUGGGAUCGAGCACCGCAAGAUUGAACCCAAAGCUAAGCACUUCUCCCAUUGCAAGAAAGAUUAAUCUAGUAGGCCAAACCAAACUGAUAAUUCGAAGAGACUUGCAAAGAUAAUCCAAUCAUACAUAAAAGAAUUCAGAGAAGAAUCAAAUAUUGUUCAUAGAUAAUCUGGAUCAUAAACCCACAAUUCAUCGGAUCUCGACAAACACACCGCAAAAGAAGAUUACAUCGAAUAGAUCUCCAAGAAGAUCGAGGAGAACUUUGUAUUGAGGCCAUGGAGUUGAUGUAGAGGCCCUCCAUGAUCGAUGCCCCCUCCGGUGGAGCUCCGGAAAAGGCCCCAAGAUGGGAUCUCUCGGGUACAGAAGGUUGCGGCAGUGGAAUUAGGUUUUCGUGGUGCUCCUGGAUGUUUGGGGGUACGUGGAUAUAUAUAGGAGGAAGAAGUACGUCGGUGGAGCAACGAAGGGCCCACGAGGGUGGAGGGCGCGCCGAGGGGGUAGGCGCCCCCCCUGCCUCGUGCCUUCCUCCGUUGUUUCUUGAUGCAUACUCCAAGUCUCCUGGAUCAUGUUAGUUGAGAAAAUCACAUUCCCGAAGGUUUCAUUCCAUUUGGACUCCGUUUGAUAUUCCUUUUCUUCGAAACCCUAAAAUAGGCAAAAAAAACAGCAAUUUGGGUUGGGCCUCCGGUUAGUAGGUUAGUCCCAAAAAUGAUAUAAAAGUGUAAAAUAAAGCCCAUUAACAUCCAAAAUAGAUAAUAUAAUAGCAUGGAGCAAUCAAAAAUUAUAGAUACGUUGGAGACGUAUCAUAAUGCGAUAAGCAAGUAAAGCUAUUUAACAUGCCGCAACCAAGGGUGAGCUGCGUGCGGGUAUAUAAAACAGGUAUGGCAAUCGUUUAGUAGAGACCACCUGGGGAUUCCCUUGUAUGCCAGAGCUCCUUGCCUCCUUGGUGUGUUCUGCAAAUGGGUCUUCCGCAUAGACCUCGAAAAGAGAAAAAAACGUGAUAAAAAGAAAAAUAAAGGCGUGCGAAUCCCAGGGUCAGUCAAGCCGCACUGUGGAUCGCGAGCGAGUUAUGCCUCCGUCCGUACCCAUGGGGUUUUGAGUGCGUAGUUAUGUAUGCGCAGUACGGAUGCCAUUUCCUCAUCGGGGCUAGGUCGGUGGCCGAAUUUACUAAUUCAGCUCUUGACGAACCGAGUUGCCCUGUUGCAGUGUAGUCCGUACCUUCUUAACGAUGUCCAGGGGCUCGGCGGCUGGAUUAUGGUGCCGCUUGAGAAGGCCUCUCUAUAUUUCCGCUGCUAGGGCAGCGGUAUGCUCCUCUUUACGGAGGGAACGUUCCGUGUUUCCAUUUACUGUAAUGACGCCGCGUGGACCGGGCAUCUUGAGCUUGAGAUAAGCAUAAUGUGGCACCGCGUUGAAUCUAUCGAACGUGGUUCGUCUGAGCAGUGUGUGGUAGCCGCUGCAGAAGAGGACGAUAUCGAAGAUUAGCUCUUCGCUUUGGAAGUUAUCCGGGGAACCGAAGACCACCUCCAGCGUGAUUGAGCCCGCACAACAAGCCUCUACGCCUGGUAUAACUCCUUUAAAGGUACUUAUCGUGGGCUUGAUUCGUGAGGGAUUAAUGCCCAUUUUGCGUACUGUAUCCUGAUAGAGCAGGUUGAGGCUGCUACCACCGUCCAUUAGGACUUGUGUCAUGCGAAAUCCGUCGAUGAUUGGGUCGAGUACCAAUGCGGCCGAACCACCAUGAAGGAUGCUAGUUGGAUGAUCACGAUGAUCAAAGGUGAUCGGGAAUGACGACCAUGGGUUGAAUUUUGGGGCGACUGGCUCUACCGCAUAAACGUCCUUGAGUGCGCGCUUGCGCUCCCUUUUGGGGAUGUGUGUAGCAUAUAUCAUGUUCACUGUUUUGACUUGAGGCGGGAAUUUCUUAUGCCCCCCCCCAGUGUUCGGCUGUCGGGGCUCCUCGUCUUCAUCCUCGCUCUGUGAUUCCCCUACCCUGUUUUCACAGUUUACCUUGCUGGCUUGCUUAAAGACCCGACAAUCUCUGUUAGUAUGGUUGGCCGAUUUGUUUGGGAUGCCAUGUAUCUGGCACGGGUGAUCAAGUAUGCGGUUCAAGCUCGAUGGUCCUCUGCCGUUCCUUUUAUAGGGCUUCUUUCGCUGGCCGGACUUGAAGCCACUGAAUCCGGCGUGAAUUGCAGUGUCGUCGGUGUUAUCGCCAUUGCUUCGGUGUUUGUGUCUGUUGCGCCGGAGCUUGCUAGUGCUGUUUUUGGCCUUGGAGGGGCCUGCUUCAUUGGCUGUGUUUGUACUGCGAGCCAGCCAACUAUCCUCUCCCGCACAAAAGCGGGUCAUAAGUGUCGUGGGGGCGGCUGAGGGAGUCCUGGAUUAGGGGGUCUGCGGACAGCCGAACUAUAUCCUUUGACCGGACUGUUGGACUAUGAAUAUACAAGAUUGAAGACUCCGUCCCGUGUCCGUAUGGGACUCUCCUUGGCGUGGAAGGCAAGCUAGGCAAUGCAGAUAUGUAGAUCUCCUCCCUUGUAACCGACUCUGUGUAACCCUAGCCCCCUCCGGUGUCUAUAUAAACUGGAGGGUUUAGUCCGUAGGACAACAUACAAUCAUACCAUAGGCUAGCUUCUAGGGUUUAGCCUCUCUGAUCUCGUGGUAGAUCAACUCUUGUAAUACUCAUAUCAUCAAGAACAUUCAAGCAUGAUGUAGGGUAUUACCUCCAACAAGAGGGCCCGAACCUGGGUAAACAUCAUGUCCCCUGCCUCCUGUUACCAUCCGCCUUAGACGCACAGUUCAGGAGCCCCUACCCGAGAUCCGCCGGUUUUGACACCGACAUUGGUGCUUUCAUUGAGAGUUCCACUGUGUCGUCACCAUAAGGCUUGAUGGCUCCUUCGAUCAUCGGUAGCGAUGUGGUCCAGGGUGAGGUCUUCCUCCCUGGACAGAUCUUUGUAUUUGGCGGCUUCGCACUGUGGGCCAAUUCGCUUGGCCAUCUGGAGCAGAUCGAGAGCUACGCCCCUGGCCAUCAGGUCAGAUUCGAAAACUUAAACUACACUGCCGACAUCCACGGAGACUUGAUCUUCGACGGAUUCGAGCCCGUGUCAGGUGCGCUGCACAGUCAUGACGAGCACGACGUAACUCUGCCGUCGGACAGUGUUCGGGAUAUCGCAUCUGCAACUACUCGGGCCGUCAAUCUGGAGCAAAUCAUGCCAUCCGAGAGCAGAGGGAUAGACCCCGCCAUGGAGGCCACACUCUCAGCGGCGAUAGAUCCGGAUACUGACUUCACCUCUUACGAGAGCCGUGUCGCCGAACCACUGGAUUCACCUCCGACCAUGGACUCCGAGCCGCCUACAUCCGUGCCCGUCAAAUCCGACUGGGCGCCGAUCAUGGAGUUCACCUCCGCGGAUAUCUUUUAGCACUCGCCCUUCGGCAAUGUGCUAAAUUCAUUGAGGUCCCUCUCUCUGUCAAGAGAACCUUGGCCGAACUAUGUCCGGCUAGAAUGGGAUGCAGACGACGAAUAAAUUCGCUACCCACCCACCACCCACUUAGUAGCCACUAUCGACAAUUUAACUGACAUGCUUGACUUCGACUCCGAAGACAUCGACGGUAUGGACGAGGAUGCAGGAGACGAGCAGGAACCACCUCCCACGGGGCGCUGGACCGCUACAUCAUCAUACGACAUAUAUAUGGUGGACACCCCUAAAAAAGGCAAUGGCGACGAGACAGUGGAGGAUGGCCCCUCCAAGAAGCAACCCAAGCAUCGACGUCAGCGGUGCCACUCUGAGUCCCGCCACAGCAAAAGUAGUGAUACCGGCACAGGAGAUAAUAACACUCCAAAUAGUGCCAAAGACAAUCACAAUCCCCUCCAGCACGAUGUAGAGCCGGAGGAUGAACAAGCCAACCCUCUAGAGCAGGCAGCAGAUGGAGAACCAGAAGAGGACAAUUACAUGCCUCUCUCCGAAGACGAGGCGAGCCUCGGCGACGAAGAAUUUAUCGUGCCUGAGGACCCCGUCGAACAGGAGCGCUUCAAGUGCCGGCUUAUGGCCACAUCAAAUAGCCUGAAGAAAAAGCAACAACAACUUCAAGCUGAUCAAGACUUGCUAGUAGACAGAUGGACCGAAGUCCUUACGGCUGAGGAAUACGAACUCGAGCGCCCCUCCAAGAGUUACCCAAAACGCAGGUUGCUACCUCACCUCGACGAGGAAGCAUUGAAACCCCAUGCACCAGUGUACGAUGCAGCUGACCGGCACUACAUGGCCGAGCCAAAGAGGCAUUUCAGCCUGAAGUUCAGCCUGCACCCCGCCGCCACUCAAUCAAAAAUACCAAGGCCCGGGGCAACACACGGGACCUGCGAGACAUAAGGGACAGCAGGGCAAAACUCGCAAGGUUAAUAUAUGGGUCACGGGCGCGUGCGCCAACGCGGGACGACGAUCGUCGCGCCGGAUACACCAAAAGUAAAUCCGGCCGGGCCAAAUACAGCAGACAAGACUCAUAUGAACUGCGUCAUGAUAUAGCCCGGCACAGAGGCGCCGCACACCCCCUAUGCUUCACGGAUGAAGUUAUGGAUCACGAAUUCCCGGAGGGUUUCAAACCCGUAAAUAUCGAAUCAUAUGAUGGUACAACAGAUGCCGCUGUAUGGAUUGAGGAUUUCCUCCUUCACAUCCACAUGGCUCGCGGUGAUGAUCUACAUGCCAUCAAGUACCUCCCACUAAAACUCAAAGGACCAGCUCGGCAUUGACUGAAUAGCUUGCCAGCAGACUCCAUCGGCAGUUGGGAGGAUCUGGAAGACACAUUCCUUGACAACUUCCAGGGCACUUAUGUGCGACCACCAGACGCUGAUGACUUGGGCCAUAUAACUCAGCACCCUGGGGAAUCGGCCAGGCAAUUCUGGACAUGAUUCCUAACAAAGAAAAACCAAAUUGUUGAUUGUCCGGAUGCAGAGGCCUUAGCGGCAUUCAAGCAUAACAUCCACGACGAGUGGCUUGCCCGACACCUCGGCCAGGAGAAGCCGAAGUCCAUGGCAGCCCUCAUAACACUCAUGACCCGCUUUUGCGCGGGCGAGGAUAGCUGGCUGGCUCGCAGCAACAACACAUCCAGGAAUCCGGGCACUCCGGAUAACAAAGAUGCCAAUGGCAAAUCAGGACACAACAAACACAAGCGCCGCAAAUAUGGUGAUAAAACCAAUAAUACGGCAGUUAAUGCCGGGUUCAGGGUCUCAAAGCCCGGUCAGCAGAAAGGGCCCCACAAAAAUACAAAUCUGGGUCCAUCCAGUCGGGACCGCAUACUCGCUCGCCAAUGCCAAAUUCAUGGCACCCCAGAAACGCCAGCCACCCAUACCAACAGAGAAUGCUGGGUCUUCAAAUAAGCCGGCAAGGUAGGCGCCAAACACGAAGAGGGGUCUCAAAGCAACGAUAGCAACGAAGAGCCCAGUUUCCGAACACGGGAGGGUAAAAGAAAUCCCCCCCCCAUACUCAAUCGGUGAAUGUGGUAAAUACCACCCAACCGGCCCAGUUGAUGUAAGCUAGGGCCGGUCACCUUCAACCGCAUGGAUCAUCCGGUUAAAGCCAAUUGGGGUAAUCCUGCCACACUAAUCCUUGACCCAAUAGUAGACAGGUUCCACCUCACUCGAGUCCUUAUGGACGGAGGUAGCAGUUUAAACCUGCUUUACCAGGAUACAGUGCGCAAGAUGGGCAUCAAUGAGUCAGCGAUCAAGGCCACUAAAUCCACUUUUAGAGACAUCAUACCAGAUAUGGAGUAACUAUCAAGCACUGCUCGGGCGAACCGCUUUUGCUCGAUUCAACGCGGUACCACCUGGUGCCUACCGUAAGCUCACAAUGCCCGGUCCACGCGGCAUCAUCACAGAUCAUGGCAAGGCUGAAUUUUCUUUUGACGCCAACAAAUACAUCACUGCCUUAGCAGUAGGAACACCGAGCAGCACCUCGCAGCUGAACCUCGAGUUGACACCUAGGCUCCCGGACACCGUCAAGGGGCUCCGAACUACUUCACGGAAGGAUACUAUGGCUCGUCCAGGGUUCAAUUACACAUUCCGGCGAAGGCCACGACAGGCCGAACUCAGCGGCUCAACCGCCCUCCGGCACGCAAAACAUUUCUUAUAUUUCCUUCGCAGGUCCACCUUCGCACCAACCAGGAUGGACUCCAUAGAGGCAGCUCGAACGCGCCUGGGGAUCCUUAGACAUUUCCUGCAGCGACCAUCCGGGCACAAUACGAACCUGCACUCAACCUUUUCCCCUGGUCACAGCAGGUUCUGCUAUCACAACUCCUUUUUUUAUUAUUUAUCACAUUACUUGUACCAUACGCAUAGACGUAUUAUUUAUACAACAUGUGGAUUCAUAUGAUGUUUACCUGUUGGUUAUUUCUUAUCAAAAUCAUUUUGUCAAAUGGCAUCCAUACACAGCAGUAUGCCCUAUAUAUGCCAGGGGCUUCGUCUUCCCUGUAACACGGCAAUAAAAGUCCGAACACCUUCACGGAAGUUCAACACCCCUAACUUAUAGCAUUAUAUGCAUCAGCUCCGAAUCAUGUCUUGGGUCAAUAGUUGGGUUUGCCCGGCUCCUAUGUUUUGGUACCUUACGUUCCGCUAUAUCGGCUAAGGUAGCACUGGGAGAACUACUAUGAUUGUGUCUUCCAAACACAAGGGGCUGCGCCGACAAUACUAAAGCUCCUCUGGCUAAGUGAGAGUGAUAAAGCCCUAUAGUCUGAUUGCCUGGUUCGUUGUGCUGAGCACCUCCCUUGGAGGACCCAAAACUGGGAUAAAGAGUGCUCAGGUUUAUCCCGAACACCCCCGCACUCCUUAUGUAGGGGCAGAAGCCGACGACUAGCCAACUCUCAACCUUAAUAUACAAACGGCCGCAUAGGAGGGUAAACUUGUAUAUAACAGUCGACAUAUCAACGACCUUGUUUAAACAUUACAAUGGACAAUGUGAUCCGCAUUCAGGGAAAUACAAUGUCCUUGGUACAUAGCUCCGCCGCAAGGUAGGAUCCUUUCAGGACACUCUUAUAAUAUGAUUCGGGCUUGCGGUGAUCCUUCCCCUCCGGCGGUCCUUCGGUCACCAUCUUUUGGGCAUCCAUCUUCCCCCAGUGCACCUUUGCAAGGGCGAAGGCCAUUCGCGCUCCUUGUAUACAGACCGACUGCUUGAUGACGUCAAGUCAAGGGCAAGCGCUUAUCAGCCGCCUUACGAGCCCAAAGUAGCUGCUUGGAAUCGGUUCGGCAGGCCAUAGCCGGAUAACCACAUCUUUCGUGGCUAGUUCCGCUGCCUUAUGCAGUUCGAUCAGCUGUUUCAGUUGAUCGGCAAAAGGCACCGGAUAAUUUGGUGCCAAAUACUGAGACCAAAAAAGCUUGUCGGUGGUGCUCCCUCCUUCGGCUCGGUAGAAGUGAGCGGCAUCUGAUAUACUGUGCGGCAGCUCGGCAAAUACACCUAAGAAGUCUAGAUUCACAAUCAGUAACAUAGUUUUCCCUUCAAAUAUUUUCUUUACAUGGGAAAAACUUACCUGCCACAAUCUGCCUCGCCUCUUGGAUCCCCUGCAGCGCGCUUUGGGUUUCCCCCUGGGCGUCGCUUGUAGCUUGGCGCGCCUUGGUGAGUUCGGACUCUUUCUCCAUUAAACUCUGCUCCAAGGCCUCACAUUUACUUACGGCCCCUUGCAUCUCCUACUCAGCUUUAAUAAGUCUAGCCUCGUGUUUCUCAUCAAGAGUCCACUCCAUGGCCGCCUUUUUCUCGGCCUGGGCAACGACCCUUUUGAGGGCCUCGACUUCGGUCAUAACUCCUAGCACAAAUUAUGCGGCUCAUUUCAUACCGAACAUUUAUCUCGCAAUAAAUACACAUAAUACUGGUGCAUAUCUUGCUUAUCCCUCAACUGCAUUUGCAAUUGGCCAAUUUCUUCUCUGGCCCACGCUAGACUUUGAUUCUGUCCGGCGAUCUCCACAGUAUGAGAGGCAGCAGCCGCUACAGGUAUCUGCUCAAAACAGGAGAGAAAUCAGUGUCAUUUAGUAAGUCUUCCUGAGAUCAUGAAUUCGAUCCCCUGUCUAGUUCUUUCUUUCACCGAACAGUGUAUCAGGGGCUACUAUCUAUACUAUGACACUCUUCGAUAAAUCAUAUAACAUACCUCAAAGCCUUUUAUAAGGCUGAUACAGGCUUCAUUCAGUCCAUUCUCGGUCAACUGAAUCUUCUUAAUCACCACGCCCAUCAGGGCACGGUGUUCAUCAACAAUGGAGGCAUCUCGUAGCGCCACCAGCAAAGCAUCUGACACUUCUGGAUGGACAGAGGUCUCCGAUGGAAUCUUUUUCCCCACGUCUCCGGCCCCUGCGGUUCGACCUCUAGGCGCCUGAUAUGUCUCCAACGUAUCUAUAAGUUUUGAUUGCUCCAUGCUAUAUUAUCUACUGUUUUGGACAUUAUUGAGCUUUAUUAUCCACUUUUAUAUUAUUUUUGCGACUAGCCUAUUAACCGGAGGCCUAGCCCAGAAUUGAUGUUUUUUGCCUGUUUUAGGGUUUCGAAGAAAAGGAAUAUCAAACGGAGUCCAAACGGAAUGAAACCUUCGGGAACGUGAUUUUCACAAUGAAUAAGACCUAGGAGACUUGGACCCUACGUCAAGGCACAAGAGAGGAGGCCACAUGGUAGGGGGCGCGCCUACCCCCCCCCCCCCAGGCGCGCCCUCCACCCUCGUGGGCCCCCUAUGCCCUAGGGGCAAUAAUAAAAGCAUUAUUAUUAUAUUUCCUUGUUCAUGAUAAUUGUCUUUUAUUCAUGCUAUAAUUGUGUUAUCUGGAAAUCGUAAUACAUGUGUGAAUAAUGACACCAACAUGUCCCUAGUAAGCCUCUAGUUGACUAGCUCGUUGAUCAACAGAUAGUCAUGGUUUCCUGACUAUGGACAUUGGAUGUCAUUGAUAACGGGAUCACAUCAUUAGGAGAAUGAUGUGAUGGACAAGACCCAAUCCUAAACAUAGCAUAAGAUCGUAUAGUUCGUUUGCUAGAGUUUUCCAAUGUCAAGUAUCUUUUGCUUAGACCAUGAGAUCGUGUAACUCCCGGAUACUGUAGGAGUGCUUUGGGUGUACCAAACGUCACAACGUAACUGGGUGACUAUAAAGGUAUACUACGGGUAUCUCCGAAAGUGUCUGUUGGGUUGACACGGAUCAAGACUGGGAUUUGUCACUCCGUAUGACGGAGAGGUAUCACUGGGCCCACUCGGUAAUGCAUCAUCAUAAUGAGCUCAAAAUGACCAAGUGUCUGGUCACGGGAUCAUGCAUUACGGUACGAGUAAAGUGACUUGCCGGUAACGAGAUUGAACGAGGUAUUGGGAUACCGACGAUCGGAUCUCGGACAAGUAACAUACCGAUUGUCAAAGGGAAUUGUAUACGGGGUUGCUUGAAUCCUCGACAUCGUGGUUCAUCCGAUGAGAUCAUCGAGGAGCAUGUGGGAGCCAACAUGGGUAUCCAGAUCCCGCUGUUGGUUAUUGAUCGGAGAGCGAUCUCGGUCAUGUCUACAUGUCUCCCGAACCCGUAGGGUCUACACACUUAAGGUUCGUGACGCUAGGGUUGUAGGGAUAUGUAUAUGCAGUAACCCGAAUGUUGUUCGGAGUCCCGGAUUAUAUCCCGGACAUCACGAGGAGUUCCGGAAUGGUCCGGAGGUAAAGAAUUAUAUAUAGGAAGUGCUAUUUCGGCCAUCGGGACAAGUUUCGGCGGUAUUGUACCGGGACCACCGGAAGGGUCCCGAGGGUCCACCGGGUGGGGCCACCUGCCCUGGGGGGCCACAUGGGCUGUAGGGGGUGCGCCUUGGCCUAUAUGGGCCAAGGGCACCAGCCCCAAGAGGCCCAUGCGCCAAGAGAUAAGGAAGGGAAGAGUCCCAAAAGGGGAAGGCACCUCCUAGGUGCCUUGGGGAGGAGGGAUUCCUCCCUUGGCCGCCGCCCCCUUAGGAGAUUGGAUCUCCUAGGGCCGGCGCCCCCCCCUAGGCUCCCUAUAUAUAGUGGGGAAGGAGAGCCUCUCAACCCACGCCUUUGGUGCCUCCCUCUCCCUCACCAACACAUCCUCCUCCUCCAUAGUGCUUGGCGAAGCCCUGCCGGAGUACUGCAGCUCCACCACCACCACGCCGUCGUGCUGCUGUUGGAGCCAUCUUCCUCAACCUCUCCUUCCCCCUUGCUGGAUCAACAAGAAAGAGACAUUACACUGACCGUACGUGUGUUGAACGCGGAGGUGCCGUCCGUUCGGCGCUAGAAUCUCCAGUGAUUUGGAUCACGUCGAGUAUGCCUUCCUCAUCCCCGUUCUUUGAAUGCUUCCGCGCAUGAUCUACAAAGGUAUGUAGAUGCAAUUCGAUCACUCGUUGCUAGAUGAACUCCUAGAUGGAUCUUGGUGAAACCGUAGGAAAAUUUUUGUUUUCUGCAUCGUUCCCCAACAUGUUGCUCCACCGACGUACUCCUUCCUCCUAUAUAUAUCCACGUACCCCCAAACGAUCAGAUACGGAGCCAAAACCCUAAUUCCACCGCCGUAACUUUCUAUAUCCACGAGAUCCCAUCUUGGGGCCUCUUCCGGAGCUCCGUCGGAGGGGGCAUCGAUCACGGAGGGCUUCUACAUCAACAGCAUAGCCCCUCCGAUGAAGUGUGAGUAGUUUACUUCAGACCUACGGGUCCAUAGUUAGUAGCUAGAUGGCUUCUUCUCUCUUUUUGGAUCUCAAUACAAUGUUCUCCCCCUCUCUUGUGGAGAAUUAUUCGAUGUAAUCUUAUUUUUGCGGUGUGUUUGUUGAGACCGAUAAAUUGUGGGUUUAUGAUCAAGUCUAUCUAUGAAUAAUAUUUGAAUCUUCUCUGAAUUCUUUUAUGUAUGAUUGGUUAUCUUUGCAAGUCUCUUCGAAUUAUCAGUUUGGUUUGGCCUACUAGAUUGAUCUUUCUUGCAAUGGGAGAAGUGCUUAGCUUUGGGUUCAAUGUUGCGGUGUCCUUUCCCAGUGAUAGUAGGGGCAGCAAGGCACCUAUUGUAUUGUUGCCAUCGAGGAUAACAAGAUGGGGUUUUCUUCAUAUUGCAUGAGUCUAUCCCUCUACAUCAUGUCAUCUUGCUUAAGGCGUUACUCUGUUUUUAACUUAAUACUCUAGAUGCAUGCUGGAUAGCGGUCGAUGAGUGGAGUAAUAGUAGUAGAUGCAGGCAGGAAUCGGUCUACUUGUCUCGGACGUGAUGCCUAUAUACAUGAUCAUACCUAGAUAUUCUCAUAAUUAUGCUCAAUUCUGUCAAUUGCUCAACAGUAAUUUGUUCACCCACCGUAGAAUACUUAUGCUCUCGAGAGAAGCCACUAGUGAAACCUAUGGCCCGCGGUUCUAUCUAUAUCAUAUUUGAUCUCCUACUACUUAGUUAUUUACUUUGCCUUUAUUUUACUUUGCAUCUUUAUCACAAAAAUACCAAAAAUAUUAUCUAUAUCAGAUCUCACUCUCGUAAGUGGCCUUAUAGGGAUUGACAACCCCUAUUUGCAUUGGUUUCGAGGAUUUAUUUGUUUUGUGCAGGUACGAGGGACUCGCGCGUAGCCUCCUACUGGAUUGUUACCUUGGUUCCCAAAAACUGAGGGAAAUACUUACGCUACUUUGCUGCAUCAUCCCUUCCUCUUCGGGGAAAACCAACACAAUGCUCAAGAGGUAGCAAGAAGGAUUUCUGGCGCCGUUGCCGGGGAGGUCUUCGCAAAAGUCAACAUACCAAGUACCCAUCACAUACCCUUAUCUCCUGCAUUACAUUAUUUGCCAUUUGCCUCUCGUUUUCCUCUCCCCCACUUCACCCUUGCCGUUUUAUUCGCCCUCUCUCUCUAUCCUCCCUCUCUUUCUCUAUUUGCCUCUUUUUGCCCGCUUGCUUUUUGUUUGCUUGUGUGUUAGUUUGCUUGCUCGUCACGAUGGCUCAAGAUAAUACUAAAUUGUGUGACUUCGCCAAUACCAACAAAAAUGAUUUCAUUAGCACUCCGAUUGCUCCUCUUACCGAUGCUGAAUCUUGUGAAAUCAAUACUGCUUUGCUGAAUCUUGUCAUGAAAGAUCUUUUUUCUUGCUUUCCUAGUGAAGAUGCCGCUACCCAUCUAAAUAGCUUCGUUGCUUUGUGUGACAUGCAAAAGAAGAAAGAUGUGGAUAAUGAUAUUGUUAAAUUGAAGCUAUUUCCUUUUUCGCUUAGAGAUUGUGCUAAAGCUUGGUUUUCGUCUUUGCCUAAAAAUAGUAUUGAUUCAUGGAAUAAGUGCAAAGAUGCUUUUAUCUCUAAGUAUUUUCCUCCCGCUAAGAUCAUCUCUCUUAGAAACGAUAUUAUGAACUUUAAGUAACUUGAUCAUGAACAUGUUGCACAAGCUUGGGAGAGAAUGAAAUUAAUGAUACGUAAUUGCCCUACUCAUGGUUUAAAUUUGUGGAUGAUUAUACAAAAAAUUUAUGCCGGAUUGAAUUUUGCUUCUAGAAAUCUUUUAGAUUCAGCCGCGGGAAGCACUUUUAUGGAAAUCACUUUAGGAGAAGCUACUAAACUCCGAGAUAAUAUUAUGGUUAAUUAUUCUCAAUGGUAUACUGAAAGAUCUACUAAUAAAAAGGUGCACGCGAUAGAAGAAAUUAAUGUUUUUAGUGGGAAGAUGGAUGAACUUAUGAAAUUAUUUGCUAAUAAGAGUGUUUCUUCUGAUCCUAAUGAUAUGACCUUGUCUACUUUGAUUGAGAAUAAUAAUGAAUCUAUGGAUGUGAAUUUUGUUGGUAGGAACAAUUUUGGUAACAACGUGUAUAGAGGAAAUUUCAAUCCUAGGCCUUAUCCUAGUAAUCCCUCUAAUAAUUAUGGUAAUUCCUACAACAGUUCUUAUGGAAAUUAUAAUAAGAUUCCCUCUGAUUUUGAAUCUAAUAUUAAAGAAUUUAUUACUUCGCAAAAGAAUUUUAAUGCUAUGAUUGAAGAAAAAUUGCUUAAGAUUGAUGAUUUGGCUAGGAACAUUGAUAGAAUUUCUCUUGAUGUUGAUUCUUUGAAAAUUAGAUCUAUUACACCUAAGCAUGAUAUCAAUGAGUCUCUCAAGGCCAUGAGAAUUUCCAUUGAUGAGUGCAAAGAAAGAACCGCUAGGAUGCGUGCUAAGAAAGAUGCCUUUAUAAGAGUGUGUUCUUCUAGUACCUAUGAAAAUAAUGAUGAAGAUCUAAAAGUUAUUGAUGUGUCCCUAUUAAAACUUUGUUCUGCAAUAUGAAUCUUGAUAAUGAUGGGACUGAAUAUGAUCCACCUUUACCUAGAAGGCAUUCUAAGAAUUCAGAAUUUAUUGAUCUUGAUGCUAAAAUUGAUAAAAGUGGGAUUGAAGAAAUUAAAACCCUAGAUGUUGCUAAACCCACUAUUAUGGAUUUCAAGGAAUUUAACUAUGAAAAUUUCUCUUUGAUUGAUUGUAUUUCCUUGUUAUAAUCCGUGCUAAAUUCUCCUCACGCUUAUAGUCAAAAUAAAGCGUUUACUAAACAUAUCAUUGAUGCCUUGAUGCAAUCUUAUGAAGAAAAACUUGAAUUGGAAGUUUCUAUCCCUAGAAAACUUUAUGAUGAGUGGGAACCAACUAUUAAAAUUAGAAUUAAAGAUCAUGAAUGCUAUGCUUUAUGUGAUUUGUGUGCUAGUGUUUCCACGAUUCCAAAAACUUUGUGUGAUUUGUUAGGUUUCCGUGAUUUUGAUGAUUGCUCUCUAAACUUGCACCUUGCGGAUUCCACUAUUAAGAAACCUAUGGGAAGAAUUAAUGAUGUUAUUAUUGUUGAAAAUAGGAAUUAUGUUCCCAUAGAUUUUAUUGUUCUUUACAUAGAUUGCAAUCCUUCAAGUCCUAUUAUUCUUGGUAGACCCUUCCUUAGAACGAUUGGUGCAAUUAUUGAUAUGAAGGAAGGAAAUAUUAGAUUCCAAUUUCCAUUAAGGAAAGGCAUGGAACACUUUCCUAGAAAGAAAAUUAAAUUACCUUAUGAAUCUAUUAUGAGAGCCACUUAUGGCUUGCCUACCAAAGAUGGCAAUACCUAGAUCUAUUCUUGCUUGUUAUGCCUAGAUAGGGGCGUUAAACGAUAGCGCUUGUUGGGAGGCAACCCAAUUUUAUUUUUAUUCCUUGAUUUUUGCUCCUAUAUAGUAAUAAAUAAUUUAUCUAGCCUCUGUUUUGGUUGUGUUUUUUGUGUUUAAUUAGUGUUUUUGCCAAGUAGAACCGUUGGGAAGACUUGGGGAAAGUCUUGUUGAACUUGCUGUAAAAAACAGAAACUUUAGCGCCCACGAGAACUACUGCCAUUUUUAUUUGGAAAGUGCUAUUUAGUUAAUUAUUUUUUCAGAAGAUUAAUAGAUAAAUUCCUCACGUCCAGAAAUUUAUUUUAGAAUUUUUGGGGUUCCAGAUAUUGCGCUAGCUACAGAUUACUACAGACUGUUCUGUUUUUGACAGAUUCUGUUUUUCGUGUGUUGUUUGCUUAUUUUGAUGAAUCUAUGGCUAGUAAAAUAGUUUAUAAACCAUAGAGAAGUUUGAAUACAGUAGGUAUAACACAAAAAUAAAUAAAGAAUGAGUUCAUUACAGUACCUUGAAGUGGUCUUUUGUUUUCUUUCGCUAACAGAACUCACGAGAUUUUCUACUUUAAGUUUUGUGUUGUGAAGUUUUCAAGUUUUGGGUAAAGACUUGAUGGAUUAUGGAACAAGGAGUGGCAAGAGCUUAAGAUUGGGGAUUCCCAUGGCACUCCCAAGAUAAUCUAUGGACACCUAAAAGCCAAAGCUUGGGGAUGCCCUAGAAGGCAUCCCCUCUUUCGUCUACUUCUAUCGGUAACUUUACUUGGAGCUAUAUUUUUAUUCGCCACAUGAUAUGUGUUUUGCUUGGAGCGUCUUGUAUGAUUUGAGUAUUUUCUUGUUAGUUUACCACAAUAAUCCUUGGUGUACACACCUUUUGAGAGAUCCAUACAUGAUUUGGAAUUUGUUAGAAUACUCUAUGUGCUUCACUUAUAUCUUUUGAGUUAUAUAAUUUUGCUCUAGUGCUUCACUUAUAUCUUUUAGAGCACGGUGGUGGAUUUGUUUUAUAGAAACUAUUCAUCUCUCAUGCUUCACUUAGAUUAUUUUGAGAGUCUUUAAUAGCAUGGUAAUUUGCUUUAAAUCCUAAUAUGCUUGGUAUACAAGAUUAAUAAUAAAACUUUCUUAUGAGUGUGUUGAAUACUAUGAGAAGUUUGAUACUUGAUAAUUGUUUUGAGAUAUGGAGAUGGUAAUAUUAAAGUUGUUCUAGUUGAGUAGUUGUGAAUUUGAGAAAUACUUGUGUUGAAGCUUGUGAUUCCCGUAGCAUGCACGUAUGGUGAACCGUUAUGUGAUGAAGUCGGAGCAUGAUUUAUUUAUUGAUUGUCUUCCUUAUGAGUGGCGGUCGGGGACGAGCGAUGGUCUUUUCCUACCAAUCUAUCCCCCUAGGACCAUGCGCAUAAUACUUUUGCUUUGAUAACUUGUAGAUUUUUGCAAUAAGUAUAUGAGUUAUUUAUGACUAAUGUUGAGUCCAUGGAUUAUACUCACUCUCACCCUUCCACCUUUGCUAGCCUCUCUAACACCGUGCACCUUUUCGCCGGUAUCAUACACCCACCAUAUACCUUCCUCAAAACAGCCACCAUACCUACCUAUUAUGGCAUUUCCAUAGCCAUUCCGAGAUAUAUUGCCAUGCAACUUUCCACCGUUCCAUUUAUUAUGACACACUCCAUCAUUGGCAUAUUGCUUACCAUGAUCAUGUAGUUGACAUCGUAUUUGUGGCAAAGCCACCAUUCAUAAUUCUUUCAUACAUGUCACUCAUGAGUCAUUGCAUAUCCCGGUACACCGCCGGAGGCAUUCAUAUAGAGUCAUAUUUUGUUCUAAGUAUCGAGUUGUAAUUGUUGAGUUGUAAGAAAAAUAAAAGUGUGAUGAUCAUCAUUAUUAGAGCAUUGUCCCAGUGAGGAAAGGAUGAUGGAGACUAUGAUUCCCCCACAAGUCGGGAUGAGAUUCCAGACGAAAAAGAAAAAAAAAGAAAAAAAAAGAGGCCAUAAAAAAGAGAAAAGGCCCAAAUAAAAAAAUGAGAGAAAAAGAGAGAAGGGGCAAUGCUACUAUCCUUUUACCACACUUGUGCUUCAAAGUAGCACCAUGAUCUUCAUAGUAGAGAGUCUCUCAUGUUAUCACUUUCAUAUACUAGUGGGAAUUUUUCAUUGUAGAACUUGGCUUGUAUAUGCCAAUGGUGGGCUUCCUCAAAAUGCCCUAGGUCUUCAUGAGCAAGCAAGUUGGAUGCACACCCACUUAGUUCCUUUUUGAGCUUUCAUAUACUUAUAGCUCUAGUGCAUCCAUUGCAUGGCAAUCCCUACUCACUCACAUUGAUAUCUAUUGCUGGGCAUCUCCAUAGCCCGUUGAUACGCCUAGGUUAUGUGAGAUUAUCUUCUCCCUUUUUGUCUUCUCCACAACCACCAUUCUAUUCCACCUAUAGUGCUAUGUCCAUGGCUCACGCUCAUGUAUUGCGUGAAAAUUGAAAAAGUUUUGAGAAUGUCAAAAGUAUGAAACAAAUGAUUGGCUUGUCAUCGGGGAUGUGCAUGAUUUAAAUAUUUUGUGUGGUGAAGAUAGAGCAUAGCCAGACUAUAUGAUUUUGUAGGGAUAACUUUCUUUAGCCAUCUUAUUUUGAGAAGACAUAAUUGCUUAGUUAGUAUGCUUGAAGUAUUAUUAUUUUUAUGUCAAUAUGAACUUUUGUCUUGAAUCUUUCGGAUCUGAAUAUUCAUACCACAAUUAAGAAGAAUUACAUUAAAAUUAUACCAAGUAGCACUCCGCAUCAAAAAUUCUGUUUUUAUCAUUUACCUACUCGAGGACGAGCAGGAAUUAAGCUUGGGGAUGCUUGAUACGUCUCCAACGUAUCUAUAAUUUUUUAUUGCUCCAUGCUAUAUUAUCUAGUGUUUUGGACAUUAUUGGGCUUUAUUAUCCACUUUUAUAUUAUUUUUGGGACUAACCUAUUAACCAGAGGCCCAGCCCAGAAUUGUUGUUUUUUGCCUGUUUUAGGGUUUCGAAGAAAAGGAAUAUCAAACGGAGUCCAAAAGGAAUGAAACCUUCGGGAACGUGAUUUUCUCAACGAAUAAGACCCAGGAGACUUGGACCCUACGUCAAGGCACAAGAGAGGAGNNNNNNNNNNNNNNNNNNNNNNNNNNNNNNNNNNNNNNNNNNNNNNNNNNNNNNNNNNNNNNNNNNNNNNNNNNNNNNNNNNNNNNNNNNNNNNNNNNNNNNNNNNNNNNNNNNNNNNNNNNNNNNNNNNNNNNNNNNNNNNNNNNNNNNNNNNNNNNNNNNNNNNNNNNNNNNNNNNNNNNNNNNNNNNNNNNNNNNNNNNNNNNNNNNNNNNNNNNNNNNNNNNNNNNNNNNNNNNNNCACCGACGUACUCCUUCAUCCUAUAUAUAUCCACGUACCCCCAAACGAUCAGAUACGGAGCCAAAACCCUAAUUCCACCGCCGUAACUUUCUGUAUCCACGAGAUCCCAUCUUGGGGCCUGUCCCGGAGCUCCGACGGAUGGGGCAUCGAUCACGAAUGGCUUCUACAUCAACACCAUAGCCCCUCCGAUGAAGUGUGAGUAGUUUACUUCAGACCUAUGGGUCCAUAGUUAGUAGCUAGAUGGCUUCUUCUCUCUUUUUGGAUCUCAAUACAAUGUUCUCCCCCUCUCUUGUGGAGAACUAUUCGAUGUAAUCUUCUUUUUGCGGUGUGUUUGUUGAGAUCGAUGAAUUGUGGGUUUAUGAUCAAGUCUAUCUAUGAAUAAUAUUUGAAUCUUCUCUGAAUUCUUUUAUGUAUGAUUGGUUAUCUUUGCAAGUCUCUUCGAAUUAUCAGUUUGGUUUGGCCUACUAGAUUGAUCUUUCUUGCAAUGGGAGAAGUGCUUAGCUUUGGGUUCAAUCUUGCGGUGUCCUUUCCCAGUGAUAGUAGGGGCAGCAAGGCACCUAUUGUAUUGUUGCCAUCGAGGAUAACAAGAUGGGGUUUUCUUCAUAUUGCAUGAGUAUAUCCCUCUACAUCAUGUCAUCUUGCUUAAGGCAUUACUUUGUUUUUAACUUAAUACUCUAGAUGCAUGCUGGAUAGCGGUUGAUGAGUGGAGUAAUAGUAGUAGAUGCAGGCAGGAGUCGGUCUACUUGUCUCGGACGUGAUUCCUAUAUACAUGAUCAUACCUAGAUAUUCUCAUAACUAUGCUCAAUUCUGUCAAUUGCUCAACAGUAAUUUGUUCACCCACCGUAGAAUACUUAUGCUCUCGAGAGAAGCCACUAGUGAAACCUAUGGCCCCGGGGUCUAUCUUUAUCAUAUUUGAUCUCCUACUACUUAGUUAUUUACUAUGCCUUUAUUUUACUUUGCAUCUUUAUCAUAAAAAUACCAAAAAUAUUAUCUAUAUCAUAUCUAUCAGAUCUCACUCUCGUAAGUGGCCUUAUAGGGAUUGACAACCCCUAUUUGCGUUGGUUGCGAGGAUUUAUUUGUUUUGUGCAGGUACGAGGGAUUCGCGCGUAGCCUCCUAAUGGAUUGAUACCAUGGUUCUCAAAAACUGAGGGAAAUACUUACGCUACUUUGCUGCAUCAUCCCUUCCUCUUCGGGGAAAACCAACGCAGUGCUCAAGAGGUAGCAGCGCCGCCUUCGCAGUUUUUUCCUUUUCUUGUUGGCCGGGGUCCUGUCGGGACAAGGCCUCGGUGUUUGGCGCCUCUUUGGAGGAAGGGUCCUUCGGGGGCGUCCCGCUCUCCACAGCGUUUGAGCUCAGCAAGUUCUCUGAUGAGGAUUGUUCGGUAUGGGACCUCGCCGGACUACAAGAAAUAUACGGCUUAGGUUAAAAUACUAAGCCACGAUGAGUUCGUACGCUUAAACGUAUUCGGAUACUCACGAGUUCACCAGGGGCUGGGCCCUGGGAUCCCAUGUCGUGCCGCUGUCGGCGGCGGCAGGAGACUCCUCUUGACGAGGAAUCUUUCCUCUUUUGGGUAGUUCGGCCUCCAAGGAUGCGGAGGCCGUCCUCUUCCUACUUCCCUCCGCAGGGGAUUCAUCUCCCUCCUCCUUUUUGUCCUCUUCAAAGGCGGAAUGGGCUUUAGAGCCUUCGGGUAUUGUGCCCGAAGUGCCGCAACGAUGAAGGCCGCCCCGAGUCUUUUUAGCCCCCUUCUCGGCCGUCUUCUUUGGCACGUUGUAGGGCGCCGGGACCAGCAUCUUCGUCAAAAGUGGGAUGGCCGGGUCUUCGGGCAGCGGGGCCGGACAAUGGAUCCGCUCCGCCCUCUUUGUCCAUCUCUGGGGAAGUUGAAUAAACACGCGUCAAGCGCGUCCAUUGGGUCAUGCGUAUGGAAAAGUUUGGUAAACUCACCGAACUUGCAGGGCGAGACAGUUGGUACCCGCGGUCUUCGGCGGAGUCCGGCCACGAUUUGCAGGACUUAAAAAAGCACCUUCCAAAUAUCCUCGUGCGACGAGCCGAAGAGCCUUCGCAAGGUUUGGUGCCUGGCCGGAUCAAACUCCCAUAGAUUGCGAGUCCGGUGUUGACAAGGUAGUAUUCGGCGGACUAACAUCACCUGGACUACGUCGACGAGUUUAAUGUUCUUAUCCCCCAUAUCCUUAACGCGCAUCUGGAGCACCGACAGUUCGUCGGACGAGGACCAAUCCAGUCCUUUUUUGACCCAGGACGUAAGCCGCAGAGGGGCGCCAGAUCGAAACUCGGGAGAAGCAGCCCGCUCCUUGCCGCUCGGCUCAGUGAUCUAAAACCACUAUUGUUGCCACUCCUUGACAGAAUCAUUAAAGGUUCUUGUUAGCCAUAUGGCAUUGGGCAUCUUGCUCACCAUAGCGCCCCCACACUCGGCGUGCUCGCCGCCCACCACCUUGGGCUUCACAUUAAAGACCUUCAGCCAUAGACCGAAGUGUGGCGAAACGCGGAGAAAAGCCUCGCACACGACAAUGAAUUUUGAGAUGUUAAGGAAGGAAUUAGGGGACAGAUCAUGAAGAUCGACCCCAUAAUAGUACAUGAUACCGCAACGAAUGGAUGAAGGGGAAAUCCCAGCCCACGGACGAAGUGAGGGAGGAAUACAACCCUCUCGUGGGGUUCCGGAGUGGGCACGAUCUGUCCCGCCGUCGGGAGACGGUGGCCGAUUUUCUUAGCCAGAUACCCGGCCUCCCGAAGCUUUUUGAUAUCCUUCUCUCGGACAGUAGAGGCCAUCCAUUUGCCCCCUGCUCCGGAUCCAGAAAUCUUUGGAAGACCUCUUGUGGGUAGAGGAGGAGAACGCUCGCGCAUUGGAGCCUGAGCAGAAUGGAAUGAGUUGGGAAGAAGGUAUGGGUGAAGAGGGUGAAUUCUUGUCCCUUUAUAAGGGCGGAAGAGGCGAUGCGCCCCCCUCGCUUGGUAAAAUCUCUUAUUCCCCAAGCGCCGUAAGUAAUGGCACGGUUGGGUUACCCAUGUCCGUAUUGAUGAGAAUCCCGUAAUAAGGGGAACACGAUCUAUGCUUUGACAGGACGUGUCAAGAAAACUGCCCCAUGUUAUGUGCGGUGCUGGUUGAGAAAAACGGUUCGAAUAAUGACCGAGCCAUGAUGUAACGUUGUGCUAUCUAAACACAUCAGCAGAUUAAGAUUUGUGGAAAUAUUAUUCUCUCUACGGUGGUAUGUGGAAAUUAUUUUGCAGAGUCGGACACUAUUCUGGUGUUCAAAAUCUUCUAUGGAGUAUUCGGAGGCAGAACCCGCCUUGCAAUGCCGAAGACAACACUGCGCGCCGGACUCAUCGUCAUUGAAGCCUGGUUCUGGGGCUACUGAGGGAGUCCUGGAUUAGGGGGUCUCCGGACAGCCGAAUUAUAUCCUUUGGUCGGAAUGUUGGACUAUGAAUAUACAAGAUUGAAGACUUCGUCCCGUGUCCGGAUGGGAUUCUCCUUGGCGUGGAAGGCAAGCUAGGCAAUACGGAUAUGUAGAUCUCCUCCCUUUUAACCGACUCUGUGUAAACCUAGCCCCCUCCGGUGUCUAUAUAAACCGGAGGGUUUAGUCCGUAGGACAACAUACAAUCAUACCAUAGGCUAGCUUCUAGGGUUUAGCCUCUCCGAUCUCGUGGUAGAUCAACUCUUGCAAUACUCAUAUCAUCAAGAACAAUCAAGCAGGACGUAGGCUAUUACCUCCAUCAAGAGGGCCUGAACCUGGGUAAACAUCGUGUCCCCUGCCUCCUGUUACCAUCCGCCUUAGACGCACAGUUCGGGACCCCCUACCCGAGAUCCGCCGGUUUUGACACCGACAGCGGCCAUGGAUCUCGGCUUUUCUUGGCCGAGGUGGCGGGCGAGCCAUUCAUCACGGAUGCUAUGCUUAAAGGCCGCUAGGGCUUCGGCAUCUGGAUAAUCAAUGAUUUGGUUCUUUUUGGUUAGGAACCUAGUCCAGAAUUUUCUGGCUGACUCUCCAGGUUGCUGAACUAUGUGGCUUAAGUCAUCGGCAUCGGGUGGCUGGACAUAUGUACCUUGGAAGUUAUCAAGGAAGGCUUCUUCCAUGUCCUCCCAGCUGCUGAUGGAAUUCUCAGGCAGGCUAUUUAGCUAGUGUCGAGCUGGCCCUUUAAGUUUUAGUGGGAGGUAUUUGAUGGCGUGGAGGUCAUCUCCAUGGGCCAUGUGGAUGUGGAGAAUAAAGUCCUCAAUCCAUACUGUGGGAUCGGUUGUUCCGUUGUAUGAUCCAAUGUUGACAGGCUUGAACCCCUCGGGGAAUUCGUGAUCCAGCACCCCAUCUGUGAAGCAGAGAGGGUGUGCGGCGCCUCUAUAUCGGGCCGUCUCACAGCGCACCUCCGAUGAAGUCUGUUUGCGGUUAUCAGCCCGGGUGUGACUAGGUUUGUCACGUCCGAAUAGGUAGCCGUCCUCUCGAGUCGCGAAGUGUCAUCGCGAUCCAUAGAUUGAUCUGGUGUGUCCUGCUCUGCUGUCUAGAUCCCGCCGAAGGUCGUGUGUGUUGUCCCGAGCUGUUCUGUCCCUGUUUUUGCGAGGCGGUGGGGCGGGCUGUUGUUCGGCCUGAGUUGCCGUUUUAUCCCGACCGCGGGGUGGUCGGUCCGCCAUACUAUCCCGACCACGUGGUGGUCGGUCCGCAUUGCAUGAGGGAGGUAUGGGAUCCGGUGCUUCCUCAUUGAACGGAGGUAGCAGUCUACGCUUUGGGUAACUCUUGACUGGGCGCUCGAGGCCGUAUUCUUCGGCUGCCAGGACAUCAGUCCACCUGUCAAUGAGCAGGUCUUGAUCAGCCUGGAGCUAGUGCUUCUUCUUCUUCAUGCUUCUAGCAGUAGCUAUUAGCUGGCGCUUGAAGCGUUCCUGCUCUAGGGGUGCCUCAGGCACGAUGAAAUCCUCGCUGUCGGGGCUCUCCUCAUCUUCGGAGACUGGAUGAUAACUAUCAUCAUCCGAGUCAUUGGGCAUGGCCUGUUUAUCAGGGUCAUCUUGCCUAUUGUCUUGUUGCUCCUAUUCGGAUGCAGCUCCAACAGGGUCUUCAUUGUUUUCGGCGUCGCCUGGAGUACUAUUUUCUCCGGUGCCAGUGUUGCCAUCUUUUGAGCGACGAGGCUUAGAACGACGUUUAGGGCGCCGGUGCUUGGACUGUGUCUCAGAAGGCUUAUCCGCAACUGGAUCCCCUUUGUCAUUGUCGCUAGAUUUUUUAGGUGUGUCAACCAUGUACACAUCGUACGAAGAGGUGGCCGUCCAACGUCCAGUAAAUGGCGGGUCUUGGCCUUGCUCCUGGUCGGCAUCGUCGUCCAUACCGUCAAUAUCUUUGGAGCCGUAAUCAAGCACAUUGGUUAAGUCAUCGACGGUGGCUAUGAAGUGGGCGGCGGGUGGGAAGCAAAAUUCCUUGUUAUUAGCCUUUGGCUCGAACCGAACAUAGUCCGGCAGUGAGUCCUUCUCCAAGGACAAGUUCUUUAAAGAGUUUAGCACAUCACCCAAAGGUGAGUGCUGGAAAAUGUCUGCGGCGCUAAAUUCAAAAAUCAAUAACUGAUCCAGCUCGGUGUCCGCGGGCGUACCCGGUCCGGGACUUAUAGCCGGAGACGAGUCCGGAGUUCCAUUGACGCAAAUAUUGCGGGGUGCCGAGUCCGUGUACGGCUCCAACACCGCAGACUCUGUGGCCUCGGAUGGCACGAUCUGCUCUAGUUCUAAGGCUGUUGCAGCAAUAGGGGCCAUCUCCUGGGUGUGAUCCGAUGACAGAUUUAAGGCAUGUCCAUCGGGGUGAGGGGGAGCGAUCGCUGCGGUCUCAAACCCAUUGAAGAUCAAGUCUCCACGGAUAUCCGUGACAUAGUUCAAGCUUCCAAAUCUGACCUGGUGGCCAGGGACGUAGCUAUUGAUCUGCUCCAGAUGGCCAAGCGAACUGGCCCAUAGUACGAAGCCGCCGAACACGAAAAUCUGUCCGGGGAGGAAGGUUUCUCCUUGGACAGCGUCUCUAUAGACGAUUGAAGGGGCCAUCGAACCUUUCGCCGACAGCACAGUGGAACUCUCAAUGAAAGCACCAAUGUCGGUGUCAAAACCGGCGGAUCUCGGGUAGGGGGUCCUGAACUGUGCGUCUAGGAUCGAUGGUAACAGGAGACAGGGGACACAAUGUUUACCCAGGUUCGGGCCCUGUCUAUGGAGGUAAUACCCUAUGUCCUGCUUGAUUGAUAUUGAUGAAUAUGAGUGUUACAAGAGUUGAUCUACCACGAGAUCGUAAUGGCUAAACACUAGAAGCCUAGCAUGUAUGACUAUGGUAAUGAAUGUAUACCUUUUUCGGACUAACCCCUUCGGUUUAUAUAGAUACCGAGGGGAUCUAGGGUUUACAUAGAGUCAGUUACAUAAGAAGGAAUCUUCAUAGUCGGUCGCCAAGCUUGCCUUUCACGCCAAGGAGAGUCCAUUCCGGACACAUGUACAGUCUUUGGCCUUCAUGUCUUCACAGCCCAUCAGUCCGGCCCAUGGAUAACGGGUCGGACGCCUGAGGACCCCUUAGUCCAGGACUCCCUCAGGUGCUAUCUCCUGGGUAUGGUCGGAUGACAGACUUAGGUCAUGCUCAUCGCGGUGGCAGGGAGCGGCUGCCAUGGGCUCGAAUCCGUCGAAGAUUAAGUCUCCACGAAUAUCAGCAAUGUAGUUCAAGCUUCCAAACCUGACUAGAUGGCCAAGGGCGUACCUGUCGGUCUGCUCUAAGUGGCCAAGCGACUUGGACCGCAUGAUGAAGCCGCCAAAUAUGAAAAUCUAUCCGGGGAGGAAAACUUCACCGUGGACAGCAUUGUUGUAGAUGUUUGACGGGGCCAUCGAACCUCUUGAAGACGACACAGCGGAACUCUCAAUGAAAGCACCAAUGUCGGUUCUAUAUCCGGCGUAUCUCGUAGUAGGGGUCCUAAGCUAGGCGUCUUGGAGCGAUGGUAACACAAGCACGGGAUUUUACCCAGGUUCGGGCCCUCUUGAUGGAGGUAAAACCCUACAUCCUGCUUUUGAUUAUAUUGAUAUGGGUGUGGUACAGGGUACAUGUGUCUACCACGAGAUUGAUCUAAUGAAUAUGAUCCCCUAUUGACUAGCCUGGCCUUGGUUUAUAUAACACACUAGAGGCCUAGGGUUUAGGAGAGUCCUUGGCUUGGGCGCCAAGUCUUGUAGAAACCUCCUUGUAUGCAGCAUGGGCUGCCCGAAGUGGCCCAUGAGUGAACCGCCAUGGGGGUCCUCGGCCCGAUCCAGCUGGUCGGGAGACGACGUGGUGAGUACCCCCUAGUCCAGGACACCUUCAGAGGUAGCCCACAAGGGGCAGUCGCGCCCCCUCCCUAUAGGGAGUCCGAAUUGGACUAGGGAGGGGGGCCACCCUCCCCCCCUUUCCUUCUCCUCUUCCUCUCCCUUCCCUCUUUCCCCCUUCUGAAAAAGGAAAGGGAGUCCAACUAGGAUUGGUAGUCCUAGUUGGACUCCCCCCUUUGGCGCGUCCCCUAGGCCGGCCGCUUCCUCCCCUCCUCCUUUAUAUAACGGGGCAGGGGGCACCCCAAAGGCACAUCAAUUGUUCCUUAGCCGUGUGUGGUGCCCCCCUCCACAGUUUACCACCUCGGUCAUAUUGUCAUAGUGCUUUGGUGAAGCCCUAUGCGGAUCACAUCACCAACACCGUCGCCACACUGUCGUGCUGACGAAACUCUCCCUCGACCCUCUACUGGAUCAAGAGCCGAGGGACGUCAUCGUGCUGAAUGUGUGCUUAACACGGAGGUGUCGUACGUUCGUUACCUGGAUCCGUUGGAUCGUGAAGACGUUCGACUACAUCAACCGCUUUACAUAACGCUUCCGCUUUCGGUCUAUGAGGAUACAUAGACACACUCUCCCAUCUCGUUGCUAUGCUUCUCCUAGAUAGAUCUUGCGCGAUCAUAGGAAUUUUUUUGAAUUACUAUGUUCCCCAAUAGAUCAUCUCAUACAAUAAUGUAUAUCACAUCAUGUCUUGACCAUAUCACAUCACAACAUGCCCUGCAAAAACAAGUUAGACGUCCUCUACUUUGUUGUUGCAAGUUUUAUGUGGCUGCUACGGGCUUCUAGCAAGAACUAUUCUUACCUUCGCAUCAAAACCUCAAUGGUGAUUUAUCAAGUUUGUUGUUUUAACCUUCAACAAGGACCGGCCGCAGUCAAAUUCGAUUCAACUAAAGUUGGAGAAACAGACACCCGCCAGCCACCUUUAUGCAAAACUAGUUGCAUGUCUGUCGGUGGAACCAGUCUCAUGAACGCGGUCAUGUAAGGUUGGUCCGGACCGCUCCAUCCAACAAUACCACCGAAUAAAAAUAAGACAUUGGUGGUAAGCGGUAUGACGAUCACUGCCCACAACUCUUUGUGUUCUAGUCGUGCAUAUCAUCUACGCAUAGACCUGGCUCGGAUGCCACUGUUGGGGAACAUAGCAUGCAAUUUCAAAAAAAAACCUAUGCUCACGCAAGAUCUAUCUAGGAGAUGUAUAGCAAUGAGAGGGGGAGAGUGUGUCCACGUACCCUCAUAGACCGAAAGCGGAAGAGUUUGACAAAGCAGUUGAUGUAGUCAAACUUCUUCUCGUUCCGACCAAUCAAGCACCGAAUGUAUGACACCUCCGAGUUCUGCACAUGUUCAGCUCGAUGACGUCCCUUGAACUCUUGAUCCAGCAAAGUGACAAGGGAGAGUUUCAUCAGCACGACGACGUGGUGACGGUGAUGGUGAAGUGAUCCACGCAGGGCUUCGCCUAAGCACUACGUGAAUAUGACCGGAGGCAUAAACUGUGGAGGGGGUGCCGCACACGGCUAACAACUAUUGAUGUGUGUUCUAGCGGUGAACGUUUAAGCAUGCGGACCAUACGGGUUCGAGAACUAUAUAGGUUGGAGGGGAGGAGAGGAACCCAAGGGGGCGCCCCAAGUAGGAGGAAUCCUACUUGGGCACCUCCCAAUUCGGCCUCCCCCCUUCCAUAUUCAUCGGAAGGUGAAAGGAAGGAGGGAGGAGAGAAGGAAGGGGAGGCUGAAUUGCUCCCCUUCCUUUCUCUCUUCCCCUCUUUCCUUCCCCCUUAUUUUGGCCUACAUGGGGCACACUGUCUGUCCCCUUCUUGGCCCAUUAGGCCCAUGUAGUUGCCGGGGGAUUCCCGGAACCCCUUCCGGUGACCUGAUAUGUACCCAGUACCCCCACGUCACUUCCGGUGUCCGAAUAUCAUCAUCCUAUAUAUGAAUCUUUAUCUCUCGACCAUUUCGAGACUCCUCGUCAUGUACGUGAUCUCAUCCGGGACUCCAAACAACAUUCAGUCAUCAAAUCACAUAACUCAUAUAAUACAAAAUCGUCAUCGAACGUUUAAGCGAGCGGACCAUACGGGUUCGAGAACUAUGUAGACAUGACCGAGACACCUCUCCGGUAAAUAACCAAUAGCGGAACCUGGAUGCUCAUAUUGGUUCCCACAUAUUCUACGAAGAUCUUUAUCGGUUGUACCGUAAUGACAACAUACGUUAUUCCCUUUGCCGGAGAGGUGUUACUUGCCCAAGAUUCGAUCAUCGGUAUCUUCAUACCUAGUUCAAUCUCAUUACCGGCAAGUCUCUUUACUCGUUCCGUAGUACAUCAUCCCGUAAUUAACUCAUUAGUCACAUUGCUUGCAAGGCUUAUUAUGAUUCGCAUUACCGAGAGGGCCUAGAGAUACCUCUCCAAUACUCGGAGUGAUAAAUCCUAAUCUCGAUCUAUGCCAACCCAACAAACACCUUCGAAGAUACCUAUAGAGCAUCUUUAUAAUCACCCAGUUAUGUUGUGACAUUUGAUAGCACACAAGGUAUUCCUCCGGUAUUCGGGAGUUGCAUAAUCUCAUGGUCGAAGGAAUAUGUAUUUGACAUGAAGAAAACAAUAGCAAUAAAACUGAAUGAUCAAUAUGCUAUGCUAAUGGACGGGUCUUGACCAUCACAUCAUUCUGCUAAUAAUGUGAUCCCGUUCAUCAAAUGACAACACAUGUCUAUGGUUAGGAAACUUAACCAUAUUUGAUUAAUGAGCUAGUCUAGUAGAGGCUUACUAGGGACACGGUGUUUUGUCUAUGUAUCCACACAUGUAUCAAGUUUUCAGUUAACACAAUUCUAGCAUGAAUAAUAAACAUUUAUCAUGAUAUAAGGAAAUAUAAAAUAAAAACUUUAUUAUUGCCUCUAGGGCAUAUUUCCUUCAGCUAAAACCAUUUAGCACUAAGAACGACAAGGAGUGAUUCUUGUUGAAGUCACAUGGAAAGAGUUUUUCUAAGACUCGGUGUCCCAAAACACUGAUGAGCAAAAUACAUGAUGGAGAUUCCACACACUCCUGUGUUUGGAUUAAUCAUGUAUUCCAUGGUAUGUAAAACAACCAGAUAUGUCCAAUACUCCCAAGCUGUUGCGAGUAUAGAUACCAAAGUGAUCCAAAGUACUGAUCAUGGGACAAUAGUGAAAAAGGUCAUUGAGUGCUAAAGUAGCACUGAUGACAUGUUUUCUUGCAAGUGGAUAUCAUGAAGAGUUCGUUGUAAAAGGUUACAUCGAUACAGUCUUCAUCAUUUCUCCACGCGAUUUUCGUUUUAAAUUGAGGGUUUUGUGUUGCACACAAUACGGUGGCACGGUAAGUUGGAAUUGUUUUAAACAAGUUACUGUGGUGGAUUCUAAAAUAGAGGCGAAGUAUGUUGCCGCUUCCGAAGCGACAAAGACAACGAUGUUGAAUCAUAUAGUUCAUUCAUGAACUUAUUAUGGUUCCAAGAAGGCUUUGGUCAAUGGGACACUAUUGCAGAUAGUUGCUCCAUAGCUCGGUCUGAGGAAUCAAGUUUCGACCAAUGAUUCACAUAUAUACAAAGCCAAGUCCGCACAAAAUAUGAAUUUUGUGAAAGCGUGAAAAUGCGAGGAUAUGCAGAUUUACACACGGAGCUGAAGUUGUCAGAUCCGUUGGACAUCAGGCUAUACCACAUGCGGAGCAUAUUUUACACCGGUGUGCCAUGGGUGUAAAGUGCACUAGCAUUAACUAGAUUAUUGACUCUAGUGAAAGUGGGAGUUUGUAGGAGAUAUGCCCUAGAGGCAAUAAUAAAUGUUAUUGAUUAUCUCCUUUUUCAAAAUUAUCUUUAUGUUCCAUGUUAUAACUGCUAUGGUUCUCGAGUCUACAAUAACACGAAGCUCGGAGGAAGACUCAUAUGCACGUGUGGAAUAAUAAACGAUAAGAAGUAUUCCUAGUCUGACCUCUAAGACUAGCUCAAGUGUCGCAUGAUGGUUCUAUUUUCCUGAUCAUGGGCAUGACUAUGCUGGCAACUUUGAGGGCAGAAUGUUAGGAGAACACUUGUGUUGAAUCAACCUGAUUGAUGUUAUGCCAUGAGAUACAUUCGUCACAAGUUGAUGGUUUAUAACACAGAGAAAGUUUACGUUUGCAUGAUUCCUUAGACCAUGAGAGUAUCAAGUUUCUUCAUGCUUGCUUCAUGAACUUUGGGGUUUGUUAAACGUCAUCCAUAAAUGGGUGGCUAUUACGGAAGCUUACGGGUUCAUGGAAAAGUAUGUCAAGUAACUUGAUAGCUCAAGAUUGGGAUUUGCUCCUCCGACGAUGGAGAGAUAUCUCUGGGCCCUCUCAGUGUUACGGUAUCCAUCAUCGUCUGGCCAGGCACAGUGUGAUGUGAUCACAGGGAUGCCGGAACACGAAAAUGAGAAAAGAGAACAAAAUUGAUAACGAGGUAACUAGCAUAGUGGACAAGUUGUUGAUCUACAGGGAUGCAAGUAAAUCUCACCUCAGGUAUUUGUAACAUAUCGCGAAGAAACAUGGAUAGCACACAACAACUGGAGGUUCACUCGAAUAUUUAUUCGUGUGGGUAUAGGGGUCAAUAUGGGUGUCCACGGCUCCGAUGUUGUUCAUUGAUCGGAGAGAGUUCCAGCCAUGUCUAUACUUCACCGAACCUAUAGGGUCACACGCUUAAGGGUCAUCUAUCUGCUAAAUAAUAGACACGGAGUCUGAGAGAAAUUCACCAAAAAAGUUUCGGACACACCAGAAAGGUUCUGAAGAGAGAACACUGAAAUAGUUUCAGUAAAACCAAAAAGUUGUUUUGGGGUAUUCCAUUAAGUCAAAUUGGUUCUGGCACAUGCCUGAUAAUUCUUGGAGGGUGCCAAAAUUAUUCUGGAACCUUCUGGGAAUUUUCCAGGAUAAAAAUCGGAAAUGUUCCGGAGCUGCCGAAACCACUUUAGAUGCUUUUUGCGGAUGAAAAUCACUAAUCCGGAGUUGUUCUGGAACGCGUUGAAAAUUAUUUUAGUGGGUACUGAAAAUGUUCUAAGCCCACAUAAAUAUUUUCAGUUCGAACCGAUGCUGAAAAAUGUCAUCGUGAAUAGUGAAAGUGCUUUUUGGAUAUUUUUUGGAAAGCCACUUUUUUGGGCUUUGCUCAAAAGAUCUAAGGGAUGACUUGGUGGAUGGAAAGGUGGUGGGACCACUCAAUGAGGCAGCCAUUUUCGUUCAUGGCCUUGGGGGGCAUGGGGCUUCCUUCCACCAUUUGGUGCUCCACUUGCCUCCCCAUUUUGCCCUUAUGUAUGACAUAAAGCAUGGGCACUUUGGGUGUUUCACGUGGCACACUACCCCUUGGUUUUCCUAUAAAUAGGAGGUGAGGGGGCUUCCCAAACCUCAUCCUUGCUCUCAUACACAUGCCAUAGACUUGUCUGGCUUCUCUCUCCCUCCCACGAAAAGAGUUUCGUAGAGCCGAAAGGUUGUUUGGGUUCCGGCGGGAACUAGAUCUGGAUGGCGAAGCCUAGCCAGAUAGAUGACAUUGUAUGUGUGCAACCCCAUAGAGAGGUCAUAGGUUCAAUCUUUGUGCCCGAGGGGCUGUUUUGAGAGUGCCUCCCGAAGGGCUAUCCAAGUGAUAGUCCGAGUUCUAUGAGUCCUCCCGAAGGGCUGUUCGAGUGACCGUCCGAGGGACUGUUCGACCGCCUCCCGGAGGGCUGUCCGUGGGGCAGAUGAGGGAGUACUUCCUCACGGUUGAGAGGUUCUAAAUCCUAGCUGUGGGGAUCUGCACCGCCGAUCGUCAUCGACUCAAAAUUUCCGCUGCGCUACGAGUCGGUAGCAAAAAAGAUCAAACCUUGUAUGCAGUCUCCAUAGUGGUCCUGGGCUGGUGCGUAGGUCGGAAUUUUUUUUUGUUUUCUGUUGCGUUACCCAACAAAAUGCAUAUGCAACAAAUUUAAAUCUACGGUAGGAUGAAAGAGCAAAGAAAAAUAAAUAAUCUUAGCGAGUUCAUAUAGAAGAGAGAAGAUGUGAAUCCAAAGGACAAAGAAAAUGUUAGUACGUGGUAAUAUUACGGUCUAAUAGAUCUGACUCCUCAUAAGAGAGCGCGUGAAUGAAUAGAAGCUUUAUAAAAUUCCCCUCAGGGAUGAUCCCAUAGAUGUUAUUUUACAGAUGGAAUAGGUGCACGGGCAAUAAAAUAUAUAGAUUUCAAAAAAAAAAUUGGUGUUUUACUGAAUGCUAUAUAUCCUUCUAUAGCUAAAUAAUUAUCUUCUCUACACUCUAAACAAGUUCUCAAGGAAACAAUGGCUAAAUGUAGCAGCAACUAUAAACUAAACAAUACAAGGAAUAUAAUCCAAAGGAAGAGCUCAUCAAAUUCUAUUUCCAGCAGCAAGGACAAUAUGGCAGAAUUGGUCUACUGAAGAUACUUCCAAAUGAAUUGGGUGUGUGGCUUUGUCACCUUGGCGAAUCAUCUAAAUUUUAAACAGAAGAAAUGAUAUUUACAUCACUGCUGUACAAGAUCUAGGUUUUCUUAGAGAAGCAUAUUACUACAUAACCAUCCAAUGCAAGGCAAUUGUAAGUGCAUCUAGUGCCCCUUAGUGAUUCUGGUGUGUUGAAGACUUAUAUGUUAAGGGACUAAUGCGUUUGUGAGUGUACACAGGUCUAUAAGUCUAUGAGGAGUUUGAUAUUUACAGAGAAAAUCGACCCCUAAAAAUGAAGUUCUUCGACUGAAGACUUUGGAUUUCUGAAGACUUUCUGAAGACUUUGAAAGUGAAGAAAUUGGUGUGGCCGUGAAGACUUGGUAUUCAUUCGAGGAACAUGAAGCGUGAAGACUUUUAUUUUCAUAGUUUCAUUUUAUCUUUCUUGAGUCAUAGGAAACACCAUACUGUUAAAGGGGGUCGAGGAAAUACUAAGGAAAAGUUUCCAAGUGAUGCUCAACUCAAAAUCCUACACCUACCAAUUCCUUCGAGUGAAGCCAUUGGAAAUCUCAUGCAGUUUAGUCAAAUUUCUUCAGUGACAGAGAUGACGUUCUUCCGGUCUCUGAGGAAUUUGUUCUGACUGAGGAGUUAGGAAUUCGCCAGUGCGGAUUGCCUACAGGUGAUGAACAUGAUAGCUCUGAGGAAUUUGAUAGUCAAAUUUCCGACCGUUGAUGUGCUACGCGCCAGCUGUCCCAAAAUAUCUUCCCACCUAACGGUCAUAUCAUUGAAGGGCAUUUAUGCCUUAUCAUGUCGGGCUGCUCCCUAGGCUAUAAAUAGCC